UUUUUUUUUCUUUGUGUUAGAGAUAGAGCGGAACUAUAUGAGAAAAAAGACAAGUGAAGAAGGGUGGAGGGAGAAUUGAAGGAUAACGCAUGAAACAAAAAUUUGAAAGUGAAAACACUUAAAACUGUGUUUGACUAGUUUUUUUUUUUUUUUUUGGGUAGUAUUUUCUUCUCUUUCUUUAACAAAAAGAUGAAAACGAAACAACAAAAAAAAAGUUAUCAAACAAGUGCUAAAGUUUGCCAAAAUAUGAAGAGGGUUCCAACCUGAGCAUCCAAUUCUCCUAUCUGACCCUGCAUUGGUAUCAUGACAUAAAGGAUCUUGCAAUUUGGUUGAAUUUAACAUAUUCUUUGUAGCUAUAUACAAUCAAGCUUAGGAUGGACGUGUGAUUGAAGAGUUCAAGAUGAUGGAACAGAUUCCAAAAGCAACUUGCCAAAACCAAGCAUCCAUACAUCAACAUAUACACCAUGUUUCCCGUCCACCAAUGAAAAGAUGCAGACAUAGACAAAUUGGUCUAACUCACAUCUACGUUCGGAAUCAACCUUUGAAUAUAUGUUCUUCUCUCAUCUUGGAAAUUUGGAGAAAAAAAGGUGCGUUCUUAUCUACCCAUCAGUCCACUGACGAUGUGGAAAAAAAGUUGGGAGUUAGUUGAGCCUUUUGAAGCCUUCUGUUUCCAUCAAUUCUCAUAAAGGAAGAACCUGAAUUUUCCUUUAAUCUCCAUGGAGCUUCUUGGCAGUUUCAGCUCCAAUUGCAUGUCACCAUUUACAUAUGAAUUUACAGACUUUGAGUCCUAGAGACACGUGUCAAUGAACCCAUAAUUCACCGUCGAGAACAAGGAAAAUUUGGGAAGAAAAUAAGGAAAAUGAUUUCCACAUUCCUGUUUUCUCCCUUGUUUAUGUCCUUUGAUUCUCUUUCGAUUUUCUCAAUCCAAGCAAAAGAAAAGAGAGGUGCGAUGAGGGAGAAAAGAAGAGUGUGGAAAUCAUUUCUGUUUCGGAAAAGAAAAGACAGUGAAAAGAAGGCCUUACAUUUUUUGCGAUUCCAGGUAAUAAAUCAUCAAUCACCAAUAUGUAAUUCUCAUUAUUUGGCCAAAGAAUAAGAAGAAGAGGCAGCAUGUUUGAGAGGCAGUUUGAGAACAUGUGCACCACCUUCACCUGAUCCAAGCCCUUCUUCAUCAUCCACAAUGAAGACAUCCUCAGGCACCCUCAGAGCUCCAUGCACCAGAACAACCGUGAGGCCAAUGGAGAGUCCGGCGACGAUAUGAUAUCUCGCAUUGGUAAGGAAAAGUGCGACGACUGUGACCACCAACAGAGCCAUCGUCACCACUCGUUCGUUGAUUCGGUACCCUAGAAUCAUCAAGGGUUGGUCAUGCAGGAAAAAUAGAAAGAACCAUGCAACCAUCAUGACAACGAAGACGAUCAACGAAAUAGGGUGCCAUAGGAGGCUCAGGAAGAGGAUGAACAAUGUGAUGAUGGCAUAGUUCAUGCGAUAGAAGGCGACGUUCGUCUUGAUUCUGUGGAUUGAUUGGUUGAAGGUGGAGGGAAGGGUGAGAUUUUGCAGUUGUAUCAUCUCCAGCCAUGGUCUUCGGUUCUCUAGGCCUGUCUGGAUCUGUUCUUUUGCGCGUGUGACGAAAUGUUGGUUCGAUGAUGGCAGGGGUUCGGUCGUGAUAGUCCCGUACGUUGUCAUUGUCCGGUGGCGGAGAUGGAGAGAUGGAGAGAAGAAUAGAAUGGUAUGGAGGUCUGUGGCAGAGACAGUGCCGAAUGCGUGUAGCUUGGAUAUCUAAUUUUGGGGGAGAAGUUUAGAUCACUGAUCACGUAUCAGCUACGCGUUAGGUUGAUGUUUAAGCAAGUUUUUUACGAUCACAUGAUGUUUUUGUUACAAAAUUAUAUAAGAUGUUUUAUUUAUAACAUCGGAUGUACAAAAAAUGGUUCAGCUAAAAUGGACGGUGACGAUUGUUCCAUACACGGGAGACCUUUCAAAUCGACAAAGAAGCCUAAACGGUUGACAUUCAUCAACAGAAACAUGGCACAGAAUAGUAGAAGCUCGUUUAACAAUUUCUCCGACUCGUCUAUGACUCACUGAGUGGCUGGGACUUCUCCUUGCUGCACCCUCCACGGUCCUCCGUAAAACUUUGGCUUCAUAAGAGGCACGGCCUGCCCAGGAUGUUCUUCCCAGUACUUUUCCUGCACAAUACCAAAGGUGAAAUUUUUAUGCGAUCUUCAAAACUUGACAUGAGAAGAUUUAUCUCCAUUGAAUUUCGGAUAUAUAUGUCAACAUGUAGAUGUGUAUUUACCGAUUCACUGAUAUCUAAAUGUCAAAAAGAUAUAAAGCUACUCAGCAUAGAUCUCCUAAAAGUAGAUGAAGGGAGCUUGAUAGGAUUGAAGAUCAUCGUGUAUAAACGAGCAAGUAACGAAGACAAGAGUAGUUAUGUGAGAUCAGCAGGCGCAUUGAGAAUUGUUGACAGAAAUACUAUGGCACCAGAAAUAUGUAGGAAUAAUUUCCAAAACAUGAAUUAAAACUGGGGAGGAACAAAACUGGAAGGGUGAGAUGGUUGCGUGGUAACCGUUGAAUUUGAAAUUCAAGUUGCAGCACCAUUUGAACGAUUGGCAGCCAUCACUUGGUUUAUUUGGCUGCAAGCGAUUUGAAUUAAUGCAGAAAGAUGUAUCCCAAAUUGGUACUUUUUGAUGGUUAUGUUAUGGCCUUUGAUCUUGUAUGUGAUUCAAUCUAAUGGCCAUUAUACGAUUCAUAAAAUAAACAACUCUUCAUUGAAGAGCUGUGACUGAUAUUUCCGAAUGGGCAUGACUCGUUUGAAGAGAUACAUCAAUCUCUAGAAAUAGAGAUUGUUUCCAGCAUAUUUGGAUAUAACCAAGAAGUUCUAUUUCUCCCUCUCGAAUUCACAAGUCUCCAUUAUUAUUAUUUUCAUACAAAAACCUAGAAACUAAUAACCUGCAUAAUUAGUUUCUAGAAUCCUUGAGUUUCUUGUAAGUCUUCUAUCGGUGUUGGGUUGUAAGUGCAAGAUGCAGAUCAACAAUAGGAAGAUGCUAGGCUUCAUUGUAUCCACAGGCUCAUUCGCAUACUCCCCUCUGCACACUAGAUGUGGGGGCGAAUAGAGUCUGAAAGAUAGCAUAUUUAUAUGCGUCUUGAAGCAACCGUUCAUCCUUCAUCAUAACCAUAACCCAUAUGUUCUAAAAAUUUCUCCAACAAAAUGUGAGCUACAGACAGUAGAAAUGAGACCCUAUGACUUGCCCAUCACUCAAUAGAUCCGAAAAGUAAAUCAAAUGGGCAUCUUGGGAUCGAACAGAAAGAAAACCCAAACAUGGCUUGAUGACAAACACGAGAAAUUUCCUCCUUCAGGCCAGAACUGGAAAAUAGGCAUCUUUUCCAAACCCUGUUACUCCACUACCCGUAAUUAAAAUUUAGAAACCAAAGCGAAUCAGCUCUGUGAUUAAAAGCCCGAUGCCAACAACAAUAAUCUAUCGAUGCUGAAGUAAACUAGACCUACUGAACCAAUCAAAAGUGUGAAGUCAAUUAAGCAUCAAAUGCUACUCCUUUCAUCUCCAAACCUGAUGCCAGAUCUCUGACACUCCUCUCAGCUGUACAUAAAGUAUAAUCUCAAACAAUGAUAUAUAUACCUUCAAGCAGAAGACACAAUGCCAUAAGGCAUUCUAUCAAAUUACAUCUCCUAAACGACACAUAGUUCAAACAAACUCCACAAGUUUACAGAUUUAUCAGCAAAUUGAUUUCAGUCCAAUAAAAGCUUCAAGAAGAAACCGACCUUUCUUCGGUCCAUGAUAACUAAAUCAUAGACUUAUCAGCACAGAGAUCAAUCAAUAGGUUUCAAAAUUUCAAUAACAUUUGAAGCUAAACAAGAAAAUGGAAAUUUUCUAACUUUCUAUUCCUAUAACUUAGGGCAUCAAAACUAAAAACCAAUAUAAAAAAUUUGGGUUUUGAUCAACUAAAUUAACCCAGAAAAUUAACAAUAAUAACAAUAAAUACAAGCAAAAAAAAAGAAGAAAAAAAAAAUUUGAAGACCCAAGUGAGUACCUUGUAAAGCUGCUCAGUGAUAGCAGAACCAAUGACCCCGGUGUAGAAAGCGGCGACGUAGAUGGUGACCAAUGGGGUGAACGAUUUGGGUCUGCUGUAGGGCUCCACCAUGUUCCAAAGAAUCAUCCUUUCCCACUUGGUGUAAACGUAGUCUGCGUAUUUCCUCCAUAGAUUGCUCGCCAUUUCCACCUGAUUUUAUUGAUCCGUUCGAAUUUGGUGUUUUCGCAGUGUCGCUGCGAGAGGAUAUGUAAUCUAGGGUUUCGGGUUUAUUGGAUUUUCUUUUCUUUUCCCGAGCUUUCUCGGCAGCCAAACGGACUAUUUGAGUCGGCUGGAAAGGGUAAGCGCGGAGGAAGAGGGAAGACACGGUUGCGGUUGGAAGAGAGGGAAGCACGUGACAGGGACCAAAACAUAAUUGUAAAACGACAAGUCGUUUAUCCUUUUUCUUCCCUUUUUAUUGGACAGUCGGACUUUUUUACCCCCGGAUGUUUUAUGCUAUACUUUGCAAUGGAAUAAGAAUUCGAAUUCGAGUGCAAAAGGAAAAACACAUUACUAUGGCCAACGAAUUCACCGCCACUCAAGUCUAAUAUUAGACUAUGUGGGGGUGUUUGUUUUCCCUCACUAAAGUUCACUGGACUAGACUGGACUAAGGGUUAGUCCAGUCCCGUGUUUGUUUCCCAUAGGGCUUAGAGUUAAUGAGACUAGCUCUCACUCGUCCCAACUAAAACAGGGCCUAGCCGGUCUUUGCUAAGCCCCCCAAAAACCAUGGGAUUUCUAAUCCCGUCUCCAGAACUUGCAUAGGACGAUCGCAUGCAGCAAGUCUUGUGAACUACAAAUCUGCAAGAAUGCUUCUGGGCGACUCUGUUUGCCAACCCAUGUCUAGAUCUAAAACACAGCCCUACCCACUACCUAAAUCUCAACACCAAAAUUCAAAAACAUAUAUGCAAAACGAUAACAACAACAAUCCCAAUAGCAAAAUUCUUCCUUAUUCCCGAAUAUUCCCAGAAAAUUUCCAAAUUUUUUUCCUUUGCCCCAAAAUUUUUUGGAAAGAAUGGAUAGAGAAGGGGAGAGAGUAGCUUUGGGACAAAGAGAAAUGGAGAGACAGAGAGGGAGGGGAGAGUAGCACGGGGGACGAUUUGCAAGAAAAAUGAUUUGAAGGAUGUUGUCUUGCAGGAAAGAAGAUGGAGAAAAGAGGUGAUGGGGAACGAAACUAAAGAGGAAGAAAAGGGAAGAACUCUCCAGAGAGAGCAGUGGAGUGUCUGGCUGUGUACUUCGGAAAUAAAAAAGAAAAAGCUUGAUUUAGUAAUAAAAUAUUAUUGAAUUAAUAAUAAAAUAUUAUUAAAUGUGUAUUAUAUAAUAUAAUAUUAUAGUUAUUAAUUAUCUUGUUUUUUAGUCCGACGCUGCACCAAACGCUUCACAAGCUAGUCUAGCUUAGUCUAGUCUAAGCCAGUCUAGUUUAGUCCCUGAAACUAAUCCAGUCCGAGACAGUCUGGUGCAACAAACGCACCCUGUAAGUUCUAAUCACAUAUCAUUGAAUUAUUCAAGUAGUUUAGAGCCUUGCACCCGAGGUCCUCUGUUCGAGACUUCAUCCCCCCAAUAUCGCUUGAAAAACGAAACCUGGUUGUAAACGAAAGAAUCACUCAUAUCAUAUUAUGAGCCUGGAAUUUCUUUAACCACAGAAAUUUCAAUUACAUAUAAAUGAAAUCCAGAACAAGAAUGGAAAAGAAUGUGGCAGAAUAGCAACUUGUGCUUUUGGGUUCUUUAACAUAAAUAUACAGAAUACAGGUAGAAAGCUUAAGCUGACUAUCGAUGGGUUUGAUACUAUGGACCGGUUUUCUUUACUACAAUUGCUUGAGUCGAAGAAAUUCUACGAUGAGGCAGAUUCUAAGGGCUUGUCCUUCGGAGCUGAGGAUGGUUCCCAUAUAAGAUCUCCAACUCCCUUCGGAGGGCCAAUGCUGCAACGAUCUGUGUUGUGUAAUGCUAUAGCAUCCUUUAACUUCUGUAACUGCAUAAGGUUAUGAACACAAUCAGGUAGUACUAAAACUUGGCCAUCCACACUACCCGCAUGACAAAUAGAGUUAACAAGAAGAUAACGGAAGAUGAUUGUUCUCAACAGUAUGACAAUCGAGUUUACUAUAAUCAACAUAAUCCUAAUUUAUUCAGCUAUACUAAUCGGAGUUGGAGUGCUAAGCCAAUGAUGAUUCUGAGAUUUGAAAACUAGGUGCUUCAGCCGGUAUAAACGGUUUUUUAGGAUGGAAAAGAUAAGAGAGACUAAUAAACAUAGGAUUCAACGUACUGUUUUACCCAUCUUCCCGGUAUCUAACUGAUAAAAACAAAGUUCAAUAACUACCUUUGCAAGUGAACAUGAAAAAGAUUCAAGCUGUCCCUCAGAUCCACGAUAGAAGUGGAAAUAGGGAAGCACCUUCACAUUCAUACUUUUGCACAUUGGUUUGUUCUCGUCAAAGUUCACUUUCAGGAAUAAAAUCUCAGGGUGGUCUUCAGCUGUUCUGCAGAGCUGACACAUGUAUUAAACAAUAAUGUCAGGAACAUAGCACCUCAACCAUACAAAAACAAAUUUGAAACAGUGUAACACAUUUAACGUCAUUUAAGUUUCUAUUGAAGGGUGUUAGUUUCCAGGACAUUCUUUCAAAAUGAACUUCAAAAUUGAAGGAUUCUUAUGUUCCAUUAAACAUUUAAGCUGAAAUCUUGGGUAGAGCUAUCUCCUCUCAUCAAAAACAGUUACCAUAUAAUGAUCAGUCAAAAUGUUUCUCAUGAAAUGAAACCUCUCGAUAACAGAAGGCAAUGUUCCAAAAACAAUGAAGCAGCUAACCAAGGCAUGCUCAGCAUCUAGAAAUGCUUAAUACAGUAUAUACCAUAGUAGCAUACAAUUAGUGUAGAAAAAAUACUGAUGGUUUAAGAGCUUAUAUGUUACGCUGGCGUUGCAUGUAAGACAGUUCUCGAACUAAAGAGGAACACCAUUAUGGAUGCAUGUCCAAAUCAAUUUCUGUCUGGAUCCCAAUUGCAGAAACAUAUAUACAGCAUUUUGAACUUGGUUAUUUCUUUUAUUUUAAACUUAGGCAGCAUACAAUACAACCAUAUAAAAGUAAAAGAACCAAGGAAAACACUCAUCUGACCGAAAUUAGUCCCGGUUUAUCGAACAAGACAUGCCACUGCUUCCUUGGGCACAUUUGACAUCUGGAAUCAAACCAUUCUAGUGAACUUGAAGUCUUACAGUUCAAGUUAGCAAGAAUAAACCAGGAAGGUUUCAAUGACACCAGUCCUAUAAUACCCGUAUGUAUUCACAUAUAUGCGUAUGGACAUUACCUUCUUCACUGCUUUGUUUAAGUCAAACAACUUCCGAAUUAUUAUUCAUGAGCUAUAUGAAAGUUUUUCAAGCGUAAAGUAACGAGAAGGAAUCAAAUUAUGAGAUUACCUUAGGAAACAAUGCACGGCAAGAAGCACACCAAGUCCCAUAGAAUUCUACAAUAACUAAUCUAUCACCAGCUUGGGCUAAAGCACUCAAAAACUCUGGAGUAGAAUGAAUGUCGACCAUAUUUGGAACACUUCUUUCCCACCAUUUUGGCUGGUCUUUAUCUUUUUCAGCAACAGUAGCCUGCACCUGCAUGUAGUGCACAAGAACCCAUUAGACAAACAUCCUUUCACAACAUCAGCAAUCAGCAUAGCCCAAAACUUGGGGAAAACUAACAAAACAUCAAUUUCCAAUCGAUUUUCGCCUUCCCUUUCAAUAUUUUCCCUUUGUGCAACUGAUACCACAAGCCAUAUUAUCGAAAUUAGCUAAAACAGCGAAAUGCAAUGGAAUAUGACUACUUCAACAAAUGGGGUUCCCAAAAAUGCUUCUAAUUUGCAGAAAACUUGCCAAUUGAAACCCAAUUCACAAACAAAAUUACCAAAAGCUAUUAUAUACUGCCAAAUUACAACACUUCAACAAAUGGGUAAUCGUAAAUUCGAUCAAAUAUUAAGCAGAUGACAAAACAAAAAAAAAAAAAAAAAAAAAACCUUGCCAAUUGUGGAUAGAAUUACCUUGAAACUAACCAACUGCUUUCUGGUUCUGAAAGCAAAGGGAGCGACAGACGAAUACGAAAGGGGAUAAACCCUCCUGUACGGGUUUUGAUUGGCUGGGAGGCCCGGUUGCAGAGAAUUGAAAGAGGAGGCGAACGAGGUGAGCAGAGACGAAGAGAAACGAAGUGAAUGGAAUGGUGAUCUCAAAACAUCAGCCAUUUAAUUAAAUUACUUGAAAAAAAAACAGAGAAAAGUACUGAGCUUUUUGAAAGAAAAAAAACCGAUAAAUGGUAAGAGUCAAAGGCAGAGAAGAAGAAAGGCCAUGGCUUUUCGAAAAAGGAAGAGUUUUUGUAAUAGUAUCUGCUCCGCUGCGUGUGUGAACCAGAGGGUACCAGAGGACGGACGCUGCUGUUUGGUCUGGGUCGAUUCUACUUGUAUUUUUUUUGUUCUUUUUAUCAUUAUUAGAGAUUAUUUCUAAACUUCAAAAAAAAAUUCAUUCAUUUGAUUUAGAGACUUUAAUUUUUAUACGAAUAAAAAAAAUUAACGAUUCAUAUGAUAUUACUUUCAUAGUCGUUGAUUUGUCAUCUAAAUUACAUGUUAAUGAAACCUUUUUUGUCAAAUGUCAACUAAAAGGAGGUGAACAUUUAUUUUUGACUUAUUUCACAAUAAAAAAGUUAAUGACAACAAUGCAAUUUUACAAAAUAAAAUUUUACUGUUUUUUGUUUAAGCAUCACCUAUAUGUGAUUUUAUCAAUCUUUAAUUUUCAAAAUAUAAAUAAAUAAAUAAACCUCUCCCCCUCCUUCCCCACUCCCACGUUGUUUUUGUCACCCUCUUCCUUUCUCCUUCAAUUUAAAAAAUAAAAGUAAAAAUUUCACACACUUCGUGUAUACUAGUCUAUAUAAAUCAAACAAAUUGAUGAUUAAUCACAAUGAUAUUGCUAAAAUGUGUUCAAAUUAGUUAGUUUUUUUAGAAUGAUAUUUGGAUGAAAAAUAGUUCUUCUAGGACAUUCUUUACACAAUGAAUUUUAAGUACUGAGGUAAUUUUAUAAAAAGUGGGUAUCAGAAAAAGCUAAGCUCAAAAAGGUGUUUGGUAAAUACUUAAAAACAGCUUAUUUUCACAGUUUUGGGUGAAAAAAAAAAACUAAAAAUGUGAAGCAGCAAAGAUGAGCUUAUUCUCACAGCACAAUAUAAACAGUUUUUUUUUUAAAGUACAGCAAUACCAAAUCAGCCCAAACUCAUCAUUCUCUAACAUUUUAACCAAUAUAACUACACAAGAAAAAUUAGAUGAAAUGACCCAGUAGACAAAUGUGGAUGUGUGUUCAUUUAAUUGAUUAUUAGACGGAGCUCACGCACGAUAUGUGUGUAAUUAUAAAAAUUUAAAAACACACUCGUUUAAUAAGGAAGUUAGGAGAGAAAGAAUAUAAUAAUAUGGAGCCACCAGCUAAAAGACAAAAACUCGAUCUUCCUUUUUCUUUCUCCAGGUGAGUUUUGCUUUGUGCUUUUCAGCAGCAAGGUGGAUCUGGCGGACGGUAGUGGUGGAUUGGCAGUCUUCGGACUGCCGGGGACUGCUGUUUUCGAGUUUAAGUGUACUGAUUUGAGGGUUUUAAAACGAAAUCAUGUUGAGCCUGAGAUUGCGACUGUUUGUAAUGAUGAUGAUCAACAAGCUGCGAUGGAGACCACCAGGCCAAUGAUGGCUACCGACGGUGUCAAAUUGAGUUGGAGAGACAAACUUCUGAAUGUUCAGAAUGGAUUACAUGCUCUGGAUUUGGAUAAUUUCAAGUGCGAUCUUGAUGAUGAGUUGGAUUGUGCAGUUACAAGGGGUGAACGUGGCCCUAGCUUUCAAUUUUCUGAACGAGCAAAGAAGAAGAUGUGCGAGCCCUGAGAGAAGUCGUUAAUUGUCAAGUUGUUGGGUAAGCCUCUCUCAAUUGCUGUUUUGUAUAAUCGUCUAAAAGGAAAAUGGAGUCCGAAUGUUGGUUUUAAGCUGUAGAUUUAAUUAAUGGCUAUUUUGUUGCAACUUUUAAGAAGAAUGAGGAUUUGGAAUUUGUUCUUACUGGAGGACCUUGGGUUAUUUCGGGUCAGUACCUUGUAAUUCAUAAAUGGAAACCUGGGUUUGAUGCUAAUUCUUCCAAAAUUAGUAGGACUGCUGUUUGGGUUAAAAUUUUAAGAAUUCAAGCUGAAUUUCUUGAUGUUUGGGCUCUGAAACGAAUUGGUUAUUUUCUUGGUAAAGCUCUGAAAAUUGAUGCACUAACUUUGGCUCGGGCUAGAGGCAAAUUUGCUCGAAUUUGUGUUGAAUUGGAUCUAACUAAACCUUUGGAGGCUUAUGUGCAAUUGAAUGGUGCAUGGUUCAACUUAGAGUAUGAGGGUCUUCCUGAUAUUUGCUUCAAAUGUGAAGUGUAUGGUCAUAGAAGAGCAGUUGUAUUGUCACUAAUGAGGUGGUUGGUGAUGUUUCUAGUGAUGUAAAUGGUAUGAAUGUUGAUAUUGGUGGAAAUGAGGUUGGUACAAGUGAUGGUUGUACUGUUAAUUCUGAUACUAAUGUUUGCAAUACUAGUGUUGAUGGUUCUGUUAAGGAAUCUGUUUUGGGACCUUGGAUGAUUGUUCAAACAAAGAGAAGGGGUAAGAAAAUUAGUGGGGAAGUAGCUUCUGGUAGUAAUAAAGGGGCUACCGGGUCUUGUUUUUCUGUGUUAUUGAAAGAAGAUAAUUCUCCUUCAGUUUUCAAGGCCAAUAUUGGUUCCAAUGUUGGAGGAGAUGCUGCUAGUACUAAAGUUUGGACUCCUAAAGUCAAGAAGACCAUUAUUUCUAAUAGAGCUCAUGUGGCCGAUAUUUCUAAUUCUGUGCAUAAAAGUGAUACUCAAAAGGAGACUGGUUUUAUGAAGAGCACUGAUGUGGAAAAUUCUAGUGUGAUUCAUCCUUAUUUUUAAUUUGGUGAAUCUGUUUCAACUGAUUGGUUUCGCAGUGAGGAUUGGUUUCUCAAUUGGUUUUCAGGCUUCAUUUAAUGGUCAUGAACCACCUAAUAUCCAUGCUAUUGUGGUAAGAUGGACAUGACUAUUGGUAAUGAUUUGCAUAUGCAAGGUCAAGAUGAUUUGGUGGGUGGCAAUUCGUUACCUAUAGAUGAUAUGAUUUCUAAGGAUGGUCCUAAUUCCCAUGUUGGGGAGGGACCAUUCUUUUCUUCUUGAUUUGCCUGAUUGGGCCCCUUCCUCUAUAGUAGUUGUUAUGAAUAUUUUAACUUGGAAUAUCAUAGGAGCUGGGAGAGAUAUGGCUGCCACUACUGUGAAGAAGUUGGUGAUGCAAUAUAAAGUAGAUUUGUUGGUUGUUGUGGAACCCCGUAUCAGUGGGGAUAAAGCGAAAGAGAUUAUUCGAAAUUUUGGUUUCCGUAGUUGGGAGAUUGUGGAUGCUACGGGUUUUUCUGGGGGUAUUUGGCUUUUAUGGAAUGAGACUAAAGUUAAGGUGAAGUUUGUUGAAGCUUGUGAGCAAGCUCUUACUGUUCAAGUAUUUUAUGAUUGUAAGCGUAGUUGGUAUUUUUCCGCUAUUUAUGGCAGCCCUGAUAUUAAAAAGAGAAAUGCCUCAUGGGAAUUUUUCUAUAAUUUUAAGUCUAGAUGCGAUCUUCCUUGGCUUCUUGUUGGAGACUUUAAUGAGUUGUUGGCCUAUGAUGAAAAGAAUGGGGCUCUGGAAGCGUUAGUUUGGGUGGUUUUAAGGAUUGGUUUGAUGUUAAUUUUAUGGUGGAUUUGGGAUUUUCGGGUCAUUUUUUCACUUGGGAUGGUGUUAAUAAAAAUGGUGUAAGAGUCUAUGAAAGGCUUGAUAGGGCAAUUGUGAUAUUGGUUGGAGGGAGAUGUUUCCUGAAGCUCAUAUCAAACACCUUGCAAAAACUAUUUCUGAUCAUACUCUUGUGCUCAUCACUUUGGAAAGCAAGCAUAUUCCCAAUCCAGAGUUCAAACCAUUUAGAUUUGAGGUUAUGUGGAUGAAGCAUGAGUGUUUCAAGCAUUAUUUGGAGUCUAACUGGAAGUCCCAAGAUGUUGGUAUAAACCAGAAACUUGGUUUUCUUUCUGGUAAGCUGAGAUGGUGGAAUAAAAAUAUGUUUGGUCGUCUUGAGUGGAAGAGAAGAAGGUUACUUGCUCGAAUUGAGGGUGUUCAAAGGCUCUAUGUAAUAAUUGCUGGCCUUUUUUGUUGAGGUUGAAUACUUCCUUAUCUAAGGAAUAUAAUAAUCUUCUUGAGCAGGAGGAAAUUUUUUGGAAGCAAAAAUCAAGAGUUAAAUGGCUUCAAGAGGGAGAUAGGAAUACAAGGUUCUUUCAUCUUUCUACCAUCAUUAGAAGGAGAAGGAACAAAAUUGAAGGUUUGUGGAAUAAUGAUGGCGUGUGGGUGGAGGAUAAGGAGGAUCUCAAGCAGAUUGCGGUGCAUCACUUUUGUUCUUUAUUUGCUUAUUCUUUUUAUGGGACUUCUAAUGGUGUGAUGCCUAAUCUUUUCUCUUAUGUCGAUCAGUCUUUGCUUGGUGCUUUAAAAGAAGAUGUGUCUCUUCAAGAAGUUAAAGAUAGUUUGUUUUCUAUUGGUGCUUUGAAGGCUCUUGGGCCAGAUGGUUACCCUGUUGCAUUUUUUCAGAAUUUUUGGGAGUUAUGUAGCUUUGACAUCCUUUGUCUUAUUACUGAGUGUUUUAAGAAGGGCUCUAUACCAGAUGGUCUUGGUAGUACCUUAAUCACUUUUAUUCCUAAGGUUGAUGGCCUUCAAGAUAUUUCCCAAUUUCGUCCUAUAAGUUUGUGUUCUACUUUGUAUAAGGUGGUGACCAAAAUUCUUGUUAACAGAUUGAGACCUAUUAUGAAAUCCAUUAUCAAUCAUAAUCAGGUUAGUUUCAUCCCUGGAAGACAUAUUACUGAUAACAUUAUAAUUGCUCAGGAAGUUUUGCAUGCUUUCUCCCUCACUGGAGGGGCCAGAGGCUAUAUGGCUUGGAAAAUUGAUUUGUCUAAAGCCUAUGACAGACUUAGAUGGGAUUUUAUAAGGGAAGUGCUUGUUGUAGUGGGUAUUGAUGAUUUGACUGUCAAGCUUAUUAUUAUGGAUUGUGUAAGUAAAGUGGAUUACAAGAUUGUAGUUAAUGGGGAAUGCUCAACCAGUUUUAGGCCGGAGAGAGGUGUUAGGCAGGGUGAUCCUCUCUCUCCAUAUCUUUUUGUGCUAUGUGUGGAGAAGUUGAGGCAUUUUAUCAGUGAAGAUGUCUCUAAUAAAUGUUGGAAGCCUGUCAAAAUGGCUAAAAAGGGGCCUGCCAUUUCACAUUUGUUUUUUGCAAAUGAUAUUAUUCUCUUUAGCAAGGCUUCUAUUUCUCAAGCUAAAGUGGUUAAACGUUGUUUGGACACUUUUUGUUGUUUAUCUGGGCAACAAAUUAGCUUUGAGAAGUCUCAAAUUUUUUGCUCUUCUAAUGUGGAUAGCGGUGUUGCUGAUCUAAUUAGUGAAAUUUGUGGCUCUCCAAUUGUUCAGGACUUGGGAAAGUAUCUAGGUGUGCCUUUAAUUCAUUCUCGAAUUAAUUCUAGCACCUAUAUAGAGGUUGUUAACAAGGUUCAGAGUAGACUCUUUGCUUGGAAAGCCAACACUUUAUCUUUUGCUGGAAGAACUACUCUUAUUCAAGUGGUUACUUCAGCUAUUCCAGUUUAUGUGAUGCAAACAGCCAAGCUCCCAGUUAACACUUGUUAUUUAAUUGAUGGAUUGAAUAGGAAAUUUUUGUGGGGUUCUUCUGAAGUCAAAAGUAAAACUUGUUUGGUUAGAUGGAGUUCUGUUUGUCUUCCGAAGAACAAAGGUGGUUUGGGUCUUAAGAGAAUGAAGUACAUGAAUGUUGCUCUUUUGGCCAAUUCCAGUUGGCGUUUGUUACAAUGGGAUGAUGGUCUUUGGGCUAGUACUUUUAGAGGUAAGUACUUAAGUAGGGUGAAUUCCGAUAUUCUCAAAUGGCCAACUGGUAGGGUAGCUUCUAGCUCUUGGAAGGCUGUUGUUUAUGGUGGUUAAUUGUUGAAAAAUGGUCUUAUUUGGAGGGUCGGCUUAGGUGCUAAUAUUAGUUUUUGGUUUGAUGCGUGGCUUGAUGAUGGCAUUUUCACCGAUAAGGCCUUGAUUCAUUUGGAUGUUUUUGCUAAGGCCAUCUCCAACCGAUGGCUAGUCAGAGGGCUCGUUUUAGCCCUCUGGCCCUCCAAGAUAUUAAUAUUUUAAUGAACAGUACAUGACCAUAUUUGCCUCUGUCUCCAACUGAUGACCAAAAGGCCAUAAGGCUCGUUUUAGCACUGUCACAAAAAACCGUCUUCAACCGAGGGCCAAAGUGCCAAACAUAAUUUAUUAUUUAAAUUUAAAAACCACAACAACUUAAAUUCAAAAACUACAACUUAUAUUUAAAAACUACAAGUUAAAUUUAAAAACGAUGAAUUAAAUUUAAAAACUACAAAUAAAAUUUAAAAACAACAUUAACUUGAAUUUAAAAAUAUAUAUAUAUGAAACAAAUUUUGUGAAAUAGAAGUUAUAGGAAAGAAAUAGAAUUUAAAAAAAAAUAAAACAAAUUUUGUGAAAUAGAAGUUAUAGGAAAAAAUGGAAUUUAAAAAAAAUAUGAAACAAAUUUUGUAAAAUAAAAGUUAUACGAAAAAAAUAGAAUUUAAAAAAAAAUCUGAAAAAUAGAAGUUAUAGGAAAAAUUUUGUAAAUAAAAAAAAAAAUAAAACUGUUAAAAAAAUUCAAAUGCAACGGCUAACUAACGUUAGCUAGUCGUUGCAUUUGAAUUUUUUUCUUCAGCAUUUUUGUCGGUUAUAACCGAUAGGAAAGAUGAUUUUUUUGGCUAGCCUUCUAGCCCUCUCCGAUUCCAUGGGGCCCUCUCAGAUUCCACAGCCCUCUGGCCUAACCAUCGGUUAGAGACGGUUUUCGGGCUAUUUUCGGCCUCUUAGACCAUUCGGUUAGAGAUGGCCAAAAGCUUUAAAGGUUAUAGACUUUUGCUAUGGUAAUUGUUGGAAUGUUUCUGCCUUGAAAGUUGUUCUUCCGGAGGAUUAUGUUUGGAAGAUUUCUGCGAUUCCUAUUGGUCUUAACGAUGGAGAUAGUGAUUGUAUUAUUUGGAAGCAUUCAAAUGAAGGAAAUUUUAGUGUUAAAUCAGCUUAUCUUGCAAGUAUUGAUGAUGAAGACUGUUGGUGCACAAAAUCAGUGAGGACUUUGGUACAAUAGAAAGUGUUAAGUUUGUGACCUUCACUAGAUUGCUCCGGUCACUAGUGUGGAUAAGUAUGCAAAUGGAUAGAGACAAGGAAGCAAACACAAGAUGUACGUGGUUCACCGAAAUUGGCUACGUCCACGGAGUAGAGGAGUUCUCAUUAAUUGUGAAGGGUUUACACAAGUACAUAAAUUCAAGCUCUCAUUUAGUGAGUACUAGUGAAUGAUUUAGUACAAAUGACAUUAGGAAAUAUUGUGAGAGAAUGAUCUCUAUUUAUAAAAGAGAGUUUCUAGUUUCAUUCUGACAUUGACACGUGUCGUGUUGUGAUUGGCUUCUGAUGUUGACACAUGUCACGUUAUGAUUGGCUUCUGAUGUCGACACGUGUCACGCUGUGAUUGGCCUCCUGGUUGGAGGGAAACUCUUCUGGGUCCUUGACGGUAUAACGUUGACCAGUGCUCAGUAGUUUCGGGAUUGGUUAAGUAUGGUACAAACAGUGCUCCCCAAAGUUCCCGAGUGAGGGAAGCUCCUCGGUUGGGGACUUGCAAGAUCGAAGCUAUUGAGUAAUCACGAAACUUCUAAGUACCGAAGUGUGGUAUCAUUUUCACUUGCCUUAUCUGUCUCAUAUGUAGAUGUGGCAUCUUCUCUGGAAGUAAUUUUCCUCCAUCCAGGGGUAGUAUCUUUAACCGAUGAAGAUGCACAAGGUAAUGUAUCAAUUUCACUUGAAACUUACUUGUAGUUUCAGUCUUGGUCAAGUGCAAUACAAACCCUAUAGUAGGAGUCCCCCAAGUCGCCGAGCUAGGAGAUUUGCCGAAAGAGGUAACAGACAAGGUAAGCAAUCAGACUUCUAAGCAAGCAACCUGGAUCGGAGGUUCGACUUCGGCUUUCGGUUGAUUAUUCUCCUUCUCCUUGUGUCGUAAACAGCAACAAGGAUAAGGAGAUGCAAAUGGAUAAGAGAUGAUAUGAGAUACUUUUGCUUUUGAAGAAGUAACUUUCCACAGGCUCUUUCUUGAACUGGGCUGGAGCGUUUUCUGGUUUCUUCCAGAGUAUAAGGCCGACUCAAGAAUUUGAGGGUCAAAACAAGUCCAUCAAAUCUAGAGUACGUUCGACCCUGAUGAUAUGGGAUAUUUUUGCUGUUGACAAAGUAGUGGAUGUAUCGGCACGUGUUCUGUUAUGCUUUGAUGCGAAAAUUAUCUUAACACACAAAUUUAACCCUCUUUUGACAACUGUAGUAUAAGUAUAAGUAGGGAUCAUUCUGGACCGGGGAUUAGGAGGGCUUGCUAAUAACCUCUAAACUGACUCAAAAACAUAAAACUAAACUUAAAAAUACUUAACAAGACUCACAAGACUCAAAGCAAACUUAAAAUACUCAAACCAGCUUAGAACAACUAACUAAACUUAAACUAGACACUAGGAAUGACUUUGGAUGAAAAUUGAUUUUUACUUUAAUCAAAACAUUUAAAAACACAAAUUAAAACAGAUUUUAACUAAUUAGACACACUAAAGUAAAGGGAGAUUGAGUUUUGAACGAAGUUGAAACAAACAAACAAGUAUGAAAAACUAGAUAGAUUGUAAAACAAAUUUGAGAAAUAAGAUGAUGGAUGGGACUAGAGGCUUUUUCUUCACACAUGACAUGUAUGCAAAUAACUCGAUUUCCAGUUACUACUUCAUUAAAUUAUGAACGACAAUGCUCCAAAUUAACUGUGACAUCACUAGUUAACUCUCAGAUUUUCCUUGUUUUAUUGGAUUGGAUAACAUCAUUCGACAACCCAAAACAUUCUUCUAAAGUUCCCUACAUGACAUCGUAAUAAAGAUACAAUAAAAGAUCAUUACGUUUAAUGAAAAUCAUAAGCAUUGACAAAGCACUUGCAACUAUGACAUCAUGUCACUCAUGCUAGGAAUUGAACUUAACGCGAUCGUUUAUAAGCGACCUUCACUACAUGUGAAUAUAAGUUUGUAACGAUUAUGUGAAACUUCCUUAUAUUCUAGCAACGGAUUUAUGCAUGCCAAUUAAGUGUCGACCCUUAAUUAACAAAUACAAAUAAGUUAUCAAUCAAAUAGUUAAGCCUAUUGCAUUCACGAUUCAAGAGUUCAUAACUGGAAUUUAUCAAAUUAUAUUGCACACAUAAUCAUGGCUUUGAAAUCACCCCUAGCCAAGAGGGGUUUAGCCACUCAUAUUCACAACAAAACAAAAGAAAAUGAAUUUAAACAUUGGAAACAAAAGAAAGAAAACACCUAAACGCUCCAACGAUCCAAGUUGGACAGUAAGCACAUCCAAGCACUUUCAUUCCCUUCCUUUGCUACGGCACAAGGUGUUGGUAAGUGUUUGAAGGUUUGUUUGUAUGGAGGUGGAUGUGAAGAUGAAUGGAUGUGUUUGGAUGAAGGUUGUAUUGAAUUCGGCAAAGAGUGGAGAAUUGUGUAGAUGAUGUGUGUGUGUUUUGGAUGGAUUUUUCUUUGGUUAUGGUGAAGGGUGGAUGUAUUUACAGGCUAAGGAGAGGAUCACUAUCUAAUUAAGGUGGUAGUGGUGUAUGUUGUGGUAAUGAGUGGAUGUAAUGGGUGUAGUGGGUGAGUGUUAUGGUAAUGAGUGGAUGUAAUGGGUGUAGUGGGUGAGUGUUGUGGUAAUGAGUGGAUGUAAUGGGUGUAGUGGAUGGAGCUCACGGCAAGGGGAUGAAAGGGAAUGGAUUUGUGAGAUGUCAUGUUUUGUUGUGGUAUGGUUUGUGUAUGUUUAAGGAGAAGGGAUGGCUGAAUGUUAAAGGAGAAAAGACCCCCAUUUCCUUGCGGUAGAAUUGUCUGCCUUGCAUGUGUGUGUAUGAAUGAUGUCUCCAUACUUUGCAUGUGUCUCUCUGCCCUCCAAGCUGUCCAUGCACUUUCUGUCCAUGUCGUGCCUUUCUUUCCCAUGUGUGUGAUGUCCAUGUACUCAUCAUUUCCACUCUUUCAUUCUUUAUUUUCUACUGCCCAUGCCGUGUGUUCCUUGCUGUUUUCUCCCUUUAUUUCCACAUGUACCAACUGUUACUCCUGCACACACAUGCUCUUCAUCAUUUCAGCUACCAAUCAACAUCUUUUCUGCCCAUACCAUGUUCCUCUUUGCAUGUGUGUGUGUUGUCCAUGUUUCUUCCAUGUGCCAUGUUUAUCUUCAUCAUUUCAGCUAGCAAUCAACACAUUUUCUGUCAUCACAUGGCAGCUAUGAUAUUUGUAGUUGUAGGUCAACACACUUGCACACACAAAUGCUGAUUUCUAGCCUUCUAAUCUUAAAAAAACAUCCAUCCUCAUGUCUCCAUGCUUGCACUAUCCAAUCUUGGCCCAAAAAUGCUCCAAAAUGUUCCAAAUAGCACUUUGUUGCCAACUUUGUUAUUUGAACCUACAAACACACGAAAAUAGCUUAAAGUACUAAAAUAAUUAGAAUUAAACUAAGUAAAUGCCAAGAAACAAGCUAACUAAGUUGCAUAAAUAUGCUCCUAUCAAAUUUCCCCACACCUAGCUUUUGCUAGUCCUCGAGCAAAACAGAAGAAACAAAACGAAACAAAACAAACAAAACACAACCUAACCUUUCAACAUUUUCCUCAGGGAUUUCCAAUGCACAUGACAUGUUAAAAAUCAUCAUUCCCACAGAUUUUGGUUAUCUUCACAGUUGAGCAUAAACUUAAUCACAGUCACUACUUACUAGUUCACAAUUAACCAAUUAAAACAAUGUUUUGAAUGUAGUAACAUGCCUUAGAGAAUUUGCUCAAUUCCUUACAAGAUACUCUCUAUUUUCAAACACAUUUUCUGACUACACACCCUACACUAGAGACUGGGACUCCCAUAUGUUAUAACAAAGGAAGCAAUUUUCUGGAGUUAUUAAGCAUGUUUAGAUAUGAUCUCAUGAAUGGUAUGCUACUACUUAGAUGCGAGAACCAGUGACACCAUAUGCUCAUACCAAUUUUGAAUUCCCCAAAUUGAAACACACAACACUCAAGAUUGUAGUCAAAGGUUGUAACAGGGCUUGGGGGUAAUGGCUAACAAAGAAAGGAUAGGAUAACAAACGUUCUUAAAGCGAUAGCAAGCAAAGCAUUGAAAUAGACUUUGGAAUUCACUUUAGAUUGCAGAAUCAACUUUUACAUACAAAGGAAAGAUUCAUGCAACACUUAGGGCCGAAUUCGAUGUUUUGGACCCUUUUUUAACAAACAACACUUUAGAGCUUUUUUUCAUACUUUCUUUUUCUUUUCUCUACCCGUACCUUAUUAAGGACUUUGGUACACACACACACAAGAAUCAUUUCCCCCACACUUGCUUUCUGCAAUACAUUGAUAAAAAAAAAGUUCAUUUUAGGUCAUGCUUUACUAUGCUUCAAGAACAAGGGUAUGGAUGGUCCUAAAACUAGGCUAGGUGAGGAUAGUGUGGGUUAACAAAGAACAUAGGCUUAACAAGGCUCAACGGGGUUAAACUUAAACACAUAAUGAAAUAGGGGCACGACAAUUUGGCUUUGGUGGUCACUACACAACUUCAUCUUGAAUAUGUGUUAUGCAAAUCAAUAGCAUGCUUUGAAUGAAAUAGGCAUGAGUUCUAGCAUUUGGAACUAAAUGAUGAAACGCCUUCUAAGUAGCAACCAAGCAAAGAAUAAUGAGAUCAUGCAACGACUUUAGAAAACAAUGAUGCACAAAUUAUUAACUCUCCAAAUAAACGUUUAGGCUCAAGUCUCACAAGGUUGUAGUGUUCAUUUGAGUUCUUUCCUUCAAGCAUGUUACAAAAACUGAUUUUUCCCUUAUGAUUGCAUGUGAAUUCAUAAAUUAUAACCACAAGCAAGCAUACACCAAAGAGUAAAUCAAUUUUCAUCCAUGUUUAUAACUCUCUUUAACAGUCAUGUAAUUAAAAAUUAAAUCAUCAUCAUUGUGUUAUAAGGUACCCUAAGACACAAAUAAACACAAAAAAACAACUCUUUUUGGGUUUUUCAAAACAAUUUUUUCAAAUUUUUAUGAGAUUUUCGGAUUUUUAUGUCAAAACACACUAAAACACUUAAAAACAGUAAGGAACAACACUAGAAGUAAUGGGUGAUAAACUCCUACGAAUUUCAUGCAAAACAACUUGGUUACCCCCCACACUUAAAUCAAACAUUGUCCUCAAUGUUUCAAGCAUAAACUCACACAAAAACAAGCAAGCAAACAAACAACGAAUAAACAUGACAAGUAUGGCAAAGUAAAAACCAGACAGAGUAGAGUUUAAGAACGCAAAUCUGGUUUUGGAGGUAGAUGAUCUUGGCGACUUUCCACAGCUUUGAUCUCGAACUGGUUUGGAAUUCUGAGCGAGGAAUAUCAGAGUUCAUUGGUUUCAAAUCAGACUCCUUCUGCUGGGUUGAUUUGAUUGUGCAUUCUGCAUUCUUCUCAGCUUGUUUCUUCUGCACGGCAGGCAGGCACGAGGUAGAGGUGAUGGUCUGUUUCUUUCUUCAAUCUUUCCAAGUGCCCACCAUUUGCUUUCUUUCUCUUUGUCCCUAGCUGAGGAUGAAUUAGCACAUUGUCUCCACAUGCUUCGAGGUAUCAUUUUCACUUCCCUUGUCUAUUCCCCAGGCAGAUGUGGUAGACGAAGAGGAAGCAUAAGAUGUUGAAGAUGAGUACUCGAGAGCAAGGCUAGGUAAGUAAUCAGGAAGGGGUUCCAGGCAGUCGGUUCCAGAUCGGAAGAUUGAUACCAAGUGCUGGCUGAUUGCUUUCUUUCUCCUUGUCCCGCAGAUGAAAACAACGACAAGGAGAAGGAUAGGGAGAAAGCAUGAUAUGAGAUACUCUUGCUUUCAACCUUCAUGAUAUGAAAUACUUUUGUUUUAGAUGAGUUGUUCGCAAAGGUACCCCAAGGAAUAAGGAACACUGAGUGACUCGAGAGGCUUCGUUGGGAAGGCAUUCUCAGAUAUGAAGAAAGGUUAUGUAUGUCUGCCUUGCAAUGGAGGGUGAAGGUUGACAUUUAUAGGAAUUAAUAACCGGUACUGUUCUUUCACUCUUAUCGGCAACCGUUGAAUGAUUUAACAGUAAACUUCACGUGCCUUCUACUUCACAAGAAAUCUUUGACAGAUUGCCCGUAAUUUCCGCAAGGCUGAGUGUGCAUGUGACAGGUGCUGACAUGUCUUGAAAAGCAAGUGCCUCUUCGAUAUCUGGGAUCGGCGCUUCGAUAAACUGCCCAUGAUUUUCGCAAAGCUGAGUCUGCAUGUGACAGAUGUUGACACGUUUGGAAAAGUAGAUGCCUCUCAGAUUUCUGAGCUUGCCUCUUCAGGUUCUGAGCUCGCCUUUUCGAGUUCUGAGCUCCGUCGAGUGCAGAGGUUACAUGUGACAAGUGCGGACAAAUCUGGAAAAAAAGAUUGACCCGUGGUUUCUGAGCAAGCCCAGCUUUUAAGAAAGCUAGCGCCUCUUCGAUUUUUGAAUUGGCCUCUUCGAUUUCUGAGCUCGCCUCUUCGAUCUCUGAAAUCCUGUCGAGUGCUGAUUUUUAUAGAGGUGCGCAGUUCGUUUCAAAGCAGGGUGAAGGUUGACAUUUAUAGGAAUUAAUAACCGGUACUGUUCUUUCACUUUUAUCGGCAACCGUUGGAUGAUUUAACAGUAAACUUCACGUGCUUUCUACUUCACAAGAAAUUUUUGACAGAUUACCCGUAAUUUUUGCAAGGCUGAGUGUGUAUAUGACAGAUGCUAACACGUCUAGAAAAGCACGUGCCUCUUCGAUAUCUAGGAUCGGCGCUUCGACAAACUGCCCUUGAUUUUCGCAAAGCUGAGUGUGUAUGUGACAGGCGCUGACACGUCUGGAAAAGCAGAUGCCUCUCCGAUUUCUGAGCUUGCCUCUUCAGGUUCUGAGCUUGCCUAUUCGAGUUCUGAGCUCCGUCGAGUGUAGAGCUUGCAUGUGACAAGUGCGGACAAAUCUGGAAAAGAAGAUUGGCCUGUGGUUUCUGAGCAAGCCCAGCUUUUGAGAAAGCUAGCGCCUCUUCAAUUUUUGAAUUGGCCUCUUCAAUUUCUGAGCUCGCCUCUUCGAUCUCUGAAAUCUCGUCGAGUGCUUGUUUUUUUAGAGGUGUGCAGUACGUUUCAAAUCACACUUGAAUUUCUGCCUAUAGAAACUCCCUUCUUGCACUUCUACUAUCUUGACUUGUCCGACCUCUUCUUUCUUCAACACAUUUGAAAAUGUCUGGCCCCUCAGACCGUCGUUUUGACUUGAACCUUGGUGAAGAGGCAGCCAUGCCUUCUCCAGACAACAUAUGGCGCCCAUCCUUCAUAUUCCCUACUGGUCCUCUUACCGUUAGGGAUUCGGUGAUGAAGAAUGAUAUGACCGCUGCAGUGGUGGCCCGGAACCUUGUCACUCCCAAAGAUAAUAGACUGCUUUCCAAACGGUCUGAUGAGUUGACUGUUAAGGAUUCUUUGGCUCUCAGUGUGCAGUGUGCAGGUUCUGUGUCUAAUAUGGCCCAACGCCUAUUUGCUCAAACCCGUCAAGUUGAAUCAUUGGCGGCUGAAGUGAUGAGUCUCAAACAGGAGAUUAGAGGGCUCAAGCAUGAGAAUAAACAGUUGCACAGGCUCGUACAUAACUAUGCUACAAACAUGAAGAGGAAGAUUAACCAGAUGCAGGAAUCUGAUGGUCAGAUUUUACUUGAUCAUCAGAGGUUUGUGGGUUUGUUCCAACAGCAUUUGCCUUCGUCUUUUGGGGCUAUACCGCGUAAUGACGCUCCAAAUGAUCAACCUCCGAUGCCUCCUCAUUCUGGGGCUCCGCGGACUGCUGAGGUUCCGCCGACUACUGAGACUUCUCCUAAGCAGCCUUUGUGAAGGCUUCCUCUUGUAUUUUUUGCUUAAUGUUCCUUUUAUUUUUUUCAUGAAAAUGAAUGUAAAAAUAUCUUGCAUAUCUGUCAAUGUUUCAAAAAUAAACUCACACAAAAAACAAUUAAACAAGCAACAAAUAAAAAUGACAAUCAUGGAAAAAUAAAAUGCAGAAAAGGGAAGGUUUUUAGAAACGCAAAACUGAUUGUGGAGCGAUUCAAAAAUCUUCCUCAUUUUUUAAUACAUGAGUUGCCUCCCAAGAAGCACUUACUUUAACGUCUUCCAGCCGGACGAAACUUCCUUCUAAGCUUGGAUAGGGCCCAUAGCAUGGAAUUGAUCCUUGAAUGGAAGGUGAUACUUGACGUGAUCCGGCAAUGGUUUAAAUUCUAAUGUAGGUGCCUGAAUCAUCAAAAUCAGCAAGUUAGUAUAAAAUAAAAUCAAAGUUGGAGAAGAUGGCUUACUUGCUUGCUUUGACACAACCUCAAUUACGAACACCACAUCUUUGAAGGUUGCAGGGAUAUGGGAUUUGGCCAGAUUUGGUGUUUUGAGAGUUAUGACUUGUCCCGUGUCAUAAAAUCCAACUUCUUUGGGAUUUUUCGUCUCAAGUGUAUCUUCUUUGAUGAAUUUUAGACAUUCCCCAUCCACUUCUUGCUCUUGAUUCUUUGGAAAGGUUUCAAAGAUGCCUUUCUCACCCUCUUCUUCCUUGGAUUGCUUGAUCCUGCAAGGAAUAAGGACAUUUGGUGAAACGGGGUCAUGACGAAUUGAAUUUAGGCUUACCUUGUUGUAGUGGAUGGCAUAGAGGGCAUAUGGGGCUGCGGCAAAGGUGGUUCUUCCCUUGCCGUGGCCUUGUUAUUCUCCUCUUCUUCGAGCAUUAGAUGUUCAUCCAUGUUUUGGCUUGGUUUGGAUGUCUUGGGUUCACCUCCAACCUUCAUAGCACUUCCCAAAGUGAUAGCAUCAUGGAUUUCAAAAUCUUCCUUCAAAUUUUCAAUAAUUUAGUUGGAUAGUUCACUUUGCUCUUGAAUUUGUGCCGUGAACUCCAUAAUCUCUCCAAGUUGAUUUUUCAAUUCGUUCAUCUCCUUAGCUUCAUUGAGCAUUGUUUCAUUUUGAUUUUGCUGCCCCUGUACCAAAGAGGUUAGUAAUUGAAAAAUUUGAUCAUUAUCCGUGGACAUACUUGAAUUUGAUUGGAAUUGUUGUAGGGGAAGCUGUGAUGGCUACAUAGGUGUUAAAUAAAACUCAUCAGAUUGCUGCCAAUAUCCAUCUUGUUGAGCCUCCUUGGUUUGAUUUUGUGAGCCUUGCACCAAAGAAUUUAUUUCAUCAAAAAUUCGAUCAUAAUCUAUUGACGAACCUGAGUUUGAUUGAGCAUAUUGUAUAUGAGGUUGUGAUGGCUGCAUAGGUCUUGAAUGGAACUCCUCUUCUUGCUGCCAAUAUCCAUCUUGUUGGAAUUGUUGAGGUUCUAUGUAAUCUGAAUAAUCUCUCCAAUCCGAAUUGUAAGCGGUGGAAAACAUGUUGUCCCAUGAUUGGCUAUGGCCUUGAUAACCCCAAGCAUCUUCAUUCGCAGCGAAUUGAGAAUAUUGCUGAGUUGGAUAUCCUUGCCUAUAGGACACACCACAUGUAGGGACACUUUGCAUUGUAGUCCUUUCGGCAUAUUGUGACAAUUGAGAAGUAAGUUCAGCCAAUUGAGCUUGAAUGGUAGCAAAAUCCAUGUCUUACUUCUCUAGUACCUGAAAUCAAGGAAACAAAACUAAAUCAAAUAUCAAAAGUAAAACAAAAAAAAACACAAACAGAAACAAAGUCAAUAACUAAAAACAAAAGACACGAAAAUAUACAAAAAGAAAUAACAAGGGAUUAGCAAAGUUGCUAAUCCCUGGCAACGGCGCCAAAAACUUGAUGCGAAAAUUAUCUUAACACACAAAUUUAACCCUCUUUUAACAAUUGUAGUGCAAGUAUAAGUAGGGAUCGUUCUAGACCGGGGAUUAGGAGGGCUUGCUAAUAACCUCUAAACUGACUCAAAAACAUAAAACUAAAUUUAAAAACACUUAACAAGAUUCACAAGACUCAAAGAGAACUUAAAAUACUCAAAACAGCUUAAAACAACCAAAUAAACUUAAACUAGACACUAGGAAUGACUUUGACGAAAAUUGACUUUUACUUGAACCAAAACACUUAAGAACACAACUAAAACAGAUUUGAAACACUUUGAAACAAGAAACUAAAAGGGGGGUUUUGAUUUGGAUGGAGUUGAAACAAAUAAACAAGUAUGAAAAAUUAGACAGAUUGUAAAACAAAUGUGAGAAAUAAGAUGAUGGAUGGGAUAGCUAGAGGCUUUUUCUCCACACAUGACAUGUUUGCAAAUAACUCGAUUUCCAGUUACUACUUCAUUGAAUUAUGAACGACAAUGCUCCAAAUUAACCGUGACAUCACUAGUUAACUCUCAGAUUUUCCUUGUUUUAUUGGAUUGGAUGACAUUAUUCGACAACCCAAAACAUUCUUCUAAAGUUCCCUACAUGACAUCAUAAUAGAGAUACAAUCAAAGAUCAUUACGUUUAAUGAAAAUCAUAAGCAUUGACAAACCACUUGCAACUAUGACAUCAUGUUACUCAUGCUAGAAUUAAACUUAACGCGAUCGUUUAUAAACGACAUCCACUACUUAUGAAUAUAAGUUUGUAACGAUUAUGUGAAACUUUCUUAUAUUCUAGCAUCUGAUUUAUGCAUGCCAAUUAAGUGUAGACCAUUAAUCAACAAGUACAAAUAAGUUAUCAAUCAAAUAGUUAAGCCAAUUGCAUUUACGAUUCAAGAGUUCAUAACUGGAAUUUAUCAAAUCAUAUUACACACAUAAUCAUGGCUUUGAAAUCACCCCUAGCCAAGAGGGGUUUAGCCACUCAUAUUCACAACAAAACAAAAGAAAAUGAAUUUAAACAUUGGAAACAAAAGAAAGAAAACACAUAAAUGCUCCAACGAUCCAAGUUGGACAGCAAGCACGUCCAAGCACUUUCCUUCCCUUCCUUUGCUACGGCACAAGGUGUUGGUAAGUGUUUGAAGGUUUGUUUAUAUAGAGGAAUGGAUGUGAAGAUGAAUGGAUGUGUUUGGAUGAAGGUUGUAUUGAAUGCUGCAAAGAGUGGAGAAUUGUGUAAAUGAUGUGUGCGUGUGUUUUGGAUUGAUAUCUCUCCCUUGUUAUGAUGAAGGGUGGAUGUAUUUAUAGGCUAGGGAGAGGACCACCAUCUAAUUGAGGUGGUAGUGGUGUAUGUUGUGGUAAUGAGUGGAUGUAAUGGGUGUAGUGGAUGGAUGUUUGGUAAUGAGUGGAUGUAAUGGGUGUAGUGGAUGGAUGUUUGUAGUUGUAGGUCAACACACUUGCACACAUACAUGCUGAUUUCUAGCCUUCAAAUCUUCAAAAACGUCAAUCCUCAUGUCUCCAUGCUUGCACUAUCCAAUCUUGGCCCAAAAAUGCUCCAAAAUGCUCCAAAUAGCACUUUGUUGCUAACUUUGUUAUUUGAACCUACAAACACACGAAAAUAGCUUAAAGUACUAAAAUAACUAGAAUUAAACUAAGUAAAUGCCAAGAAACAAGCUAACUAAGUUGCAUAAAUAUGCUCCUAUCAGUGAAAGGUGGAUGUAUUUAUAGGCUAAGGAGAGAACCACCAUCUAAUUAAGGUGGUAGUGGUGUAUGUUGUGGUAAUGAGUGGAUGUAAUGGGUGUAGUGGGUGAGUGUUGUGGUAAUGAAUGGAUGUAAUGGGUGUAGUGGAUGAAGCUCACGGCAAUGGGAUGGAAAUGAAUGGAUUUGUGAGAAGUCAUGUUUUGUUGUGGUGUGGUUUGUGUAUGUUUAAGGAGAAGGAAUGGCUGAAUGUUAAAGGAGAAAAGACCCCUAUUUCCUUGCGGUAGAAUUGUCUCCCUUGCAUGUGUGUGUAUGAAUAAUGUCUCCAUACUUUGCAUGUGUCUCUCUGCCCUCCAAGUUGUCCAUGUCAUGCCUUUCUUUCCCAUGUGUGUGUUGUCCAUAUACUCAUCAUUUCCACUCCUUCAUUCUUUAUUUUCUGUUGCCCAUGCCGUGCGUUCCUUGCUGUUUUCUCUCUUUAUUUCCACAUGUACCAGUUGUUACUCUUGCACACACAUGCUCUUCAUCAUUUCAGCUACCAAUCAACACCUUUUCUGCCCAUGCCGUGUUCCUCUUUGCAUGUGUGUGUGAUAUCCAUGUUUCUUCCAUGUGCCGUGUUCAUCUUCAUCAUUUCAGCUAGCAAUCAACAUAUUUUCUGUCAUCACACAGCAGCUAUGAUGUUUGUAGUUGUAGGUCAACACACUUGCACACACAAAUGCUGAUUUCUAGCCUUCUAAUCUUAAAAAACGUCCAUCUUUAUGUCUCCAUGCUUGCACUAUCCAAUCUUGGCUAAAAAAUAAUCCAAAAUGUUCCAAAUAGCACUUUGUUGCCAACUUUAUUAUUUGAACCUACAAACACACGAAAAUAGCUUAAAGUGCUAAAAUAACUAGAAUUAAACUAGGUAAAUGCCAAGAAACAAGCUAACUAAGUUGCAUAAAUAUGCUCCUAUCAUGCUUGUAUCCACAUUCUUCCUUGUAUCCUUCUCACUUGCCCUAUCUGUUCUUCAGGCAGAUGUGGUAUCUUCUCUAGAAGCAUAAGAUGUUGAAGAUGAGUACUCGAGAGCAAUGCCAGGUAAGUAAUCAGGCAAGGGGUUCCAAGCAGUCAGUUCCUGACUAGAAGCUUGAUUCCAAGUGCUGACUAAUUCCUCUAUUUCUCCUUGUCUUGCAGGUAAGAACAAAGGCAAAGGAAAAGACAGAGAAAAAGCAUGAUAUGGGAUACUCUUGCUUUUGACCCUGAUGAUAAGAGAUACUCUUGCUCUGGUGUGACUAGUUUGCAUAGGUAUUAUUGGGGGAAGAAAGUUGAGUAUUUUGAAAGGUUUCGUUGGGAGUACCCUCUCAUAUAUGAGGAAGGGUUGAGCAUUUUUACAGGUCUGCCUGUCCGUGGAGGAUGGAUGUCGACAUAUAUAGGAGUCUCCCUAACAACAAGUAGCAAUGUUAUUCCUUUACCCUUCUUGGUUAUAGCAAUGUAGUGGGAGCUGCAAACUUCACUUGUUUUAACUUUGUCAGAGCACUUUGAAAAAAUGGUCUGUGGUAUUUAGAAAGCUGAUGUUGCAUGUGAAGAUUGCAAACAAGCUUUAUCCAAGGAAAUCUGGCUCUCAAAGUUUGGAGAGCGGUGCAUCUUCAGUUUUCAACAAGCAAUCAUGUUGGGGAUCUGGCUCUCGAGAUUUGGAGAACGAUGCCUUUUCCAUUUUUGAGAAAGUAAUCUUGUUGGGAGUCUGGCUCUUGAGAUUCGGAGAGCGUUGUUUCUUCGAUUUUUGAGAAAGUAAUCCUGUUGGGAGUUUGGCUCUUAAGAUUCGGAGAGCGGUGUCUUUUUUAUUUUUAAGAAAGUAACCUAUUGGGAGUCUGGUACUCGAGAUUCGACGAGCGGUGCCUCAUCGAUUUUUGAGCAAACAAUCUUGUUAGGAGUCUGACUCUCGAGAUUCGGAGGGCGGUGCCUCUUCAAUUUUUGAGCAAGCAAUCUUGUUGGGAGUGUUUUCUCAAAUGUGAGUAAAGGUUGGGUAUUUUUGCCAGUCUGCCUUGCCACGGAGAACGGAGGUUGACACACAUUGAGACUUUCUAGUUAUCAAGCAGUGGUGAUGUUCCUUUACCCUUGUGGGUAAUAGUAGAGUAGCUGGACCUUUAAAAUUUAUGUGUCUAAACUUUGUCAGAGAUCUUUGAACUCGAGGAGUUGAUGUUGCGUGUGGAAAGUGGUGCCUCUUCGGAAUCCGGAGAGUGGUGCCUCUUAAAUUUUUAAACCAACGACCAUGUUGCCCUUUCUUUUAUAAGGGCACCAAUUGUGUGCAAGAAGUACAUUCAGAGAGUUAUUGCUUGUAGGAAUUUUCCCCUUACUUCAAAGAUUUAUUGCACCUCAUUUCUCCUUCAUCAUUUCUGAGAGUGUCUGGCCCAUCCGACCGUCGUUUUGACUUGAACUUUGGUGAAGAGAUAGCCACACCUUCUCAAGAUAACAUAUGGCUCCCAUCCUUCUUAUCCCAUACUGGUCUUCUUACCGUUAGGGACUCUAUGAUGAAGAAUGAUAUGACCGUUGCAGUGGUGGCGAGGAACUUUCUCACUCCCAAAGCGAACAGACUACUUUCCAAAUGGUCUGAUGAAUUGGCUGUUAAGGGCUGGUUUGGUAUUGCUGUGCUUUGAAAAAAACUGCUGUGAGAAUAAGCGGUUGUGCUGUGAGAAUAAGCGGCUGUGAAAUAAAUCAUCAGAGUGUUUGGUAAACUUUUUUGUAAAAGUGUUUUUCGAAAAAAAAAAACAGUCUGAUAGUGGUUCUUUUCAUUAAAAUAGCACUGUAGCUCCAUGUGCUUUGAAAAAAAGCCAGUUUUCCAAAGCUGUAAAUAGCAGCUUUAGCUUUUUCCUUUUAUUUCAGCUUAUUCUCACAGCAGCUUCCAAAAUAAGCCUUUUUUUUCAGUUUACCAAACACCUAAAACCCUCCCAGCUUUUUUUCAUGGGUGCUCUUUUUUUAAGCACCUCACUCCCAAACCACCCCUAAGGAUUCUCGGGCUCUUAAUGUUCAGUGUGCAGAUUCUGUGUCUAAUAUGGCCCAACGCCUAUUUGCUUGAACCCGCCAAGUUGAAUCAUUGGCGGCUGAAGUGAUAAGUCUCAAACAGGAGAUCAGAGGGCUCAAGCAUGAGAAUAAACAGUUGCACAGGCUCGCACAUGACUAUGCUACAAACAUGAAGAGUAAGCUCGACCAGCUGCAGGAAUCUGAUGGUCAGAUUUUACUUGAUCAUCAGAGGUUUGUGGGUUUGUUCCAAAUGCAUUUAUUGCCUUCGUCUUCUGAGGCUGUACCGCGUAAUGAAGCUCCAAAUGAUCUACCUUCGGUGCCUCCUCCUUCUGGGUACAGAGGUUCCAAAUAAUCACCCUCUGGUGCCCCCUCUUUCUGGGGCUCUGCCGACUGCUGAGACUUCUCCUGAGCAACCUUUGUGAAGGCUCUCUCUUGUUUGUUUAUUUUGAUUCAUGUAUAUGUACAUAUUUGUAACUUAUCAGAGAUAUCAAUAAACAAGCUUUGUUUCAUUUCAACGUAUUGUGUUAAAUGCACCAAGGCCUUCUUCACUAAGUUCUUUGAAUUUUUCCUUUUGUUGAAUCUUGUGUGUUAAAGCUUUGUGAGUGAAGCAUGUAGGUUGAGGUAGUGCUCCCUUAAUUUCCCGAGUGAGGAAAACUUCUUGGUUGGAGACUUGAAAAAAUCCAAGUCACUGAGUGGUCGUGAGACUUCCGAGUAUCAAGAUGCAGUAGCAUAUGGUAGGAGUCCCCCAAGUCUCCGGUCGAGGGAGUUGACGAAAGAGGUGUCUUGCUAGUAGCCAAGUUUCCAAAGUAACAAAACUUCACCAUUUUCCUUUCUAAGUGGUAGCCCAAAACUCCUCCUUCAUAUAUAUUUGUUAUGAAAGUUGUUAGGCCCAAAGAAGAGCAGGCCUAGGCAAUUUUUUUUAUUUUAUUAUUAUUAUUUUUUUGAAUUUUUGAAUUUUCGAAUUUUCGAAUUUUUGAAUUUUUGAAUUUUCGAAAAUAUAAAUAUAUAUAUUUUUAAGCUUUAUAGGUGAAGUUUUGUAGGUGAAGCUUUGAGGUUAAAACUUUGUUGGGUACCAUUAAUUGAUUUUAAUUCACACUAUCUUGAUCAAGAUAGUGUGAAGCUUUUGUAGGUGAAGAUUUUGUGUUGAAGCUUUGUAGGUGAAACUUUUGUAGGUGAAGCUUUUGUGGUGGGGGAAGCUUUUGUAGGGGACACUUUUGUGGGUGAAGCUUUUGUUGGUGAAGCUUUUAUGGGUGAAGUUUUUGUGGUGGGUGAAGCUUUUGUGGGUGAAGUUUUUGUUGGUGAAGCUUUUAUGGGUGAAUCUUUUGUAGGUGAAGCUUUUGUGGUGCGUGGAGCUUUUAUUGAUGAAGCUUUUGUAGGUGAAGCUUUUGUAGGUGAAACUUUGUAGGUGAAGUUUUGGAGUUGAAGCUUUUGUUGGUUACCAUGAAUUGAUUUUGCUUCACACUAUCUUGAUCAAGAUAGUGUGAAGUUUUUUAGAAUUUGUAGUUCCUCCAUUGAUGAAGCUUUUGUUGGUGAAGCUUUUGUGGUGAAGUUUUGUUGAAUUUUCUUUUUUUUGUUUUGUUUUGGGAAACUAGAAAUUUGAAAAUGUGGGAGAGACAACAUAUACAAAUUUUGCUUCCACACUGUUGAGCAAGAGAUUGUGAUGCAAGCCACACCUUGUAGUAGUCGAAGGUUUGGAUGAACCAUAUAAAUUGAAUUUGCUUCGAACAGUCUUGAUCAAGAGUGUGUGAAGCUUUCUACGAGUUGUAGUUGCCCUUCAUUGAUGAAGCUUUUGUUGGCACCAUAAAUUGGUUUUGCUUCACACUGUCUUGAUCAGGAGUGUGUGAAGCUUUUGAGAAUUGUGGUUGCCCUCCAUUGAUAAAGCUCUCGUUGGCACCAUAAAUUGGUUUUGCUUCACACUGUCUUGAUCAAGAGUGUGAAGCUUUUGAGAAUUGUGGUUGAACUCCUUUGAUGAAGAUUUUGUUGGCACCAUAAAUUGGUUUUACUUCACACUGUUUUGAUCAAGAGUGUGUGAAGUUUUUUAGAAUUGUGGUUGCCCUUCAUUGAUGAAGCUUUUGUUUGCACCACAAAUUGGUUUUGCUUCACACUGUCUUGAUCAAGAGUGUGUGAAGCUUUUGAGAAUUGUGUUUGAACUCCUUUGAUGAAGCUUUUGUUGGCACCAUAGAUUGAUUUUACUUAACACUGUCUUGAUCAAGAGUGUGUGAAGCUUUUGAGAAUUGUGGUUGCCCUUCAUUGAUGAAGCUCUUGUUGGCAUUAUAAAUUGGUUUUGCUUGACACUGUCUUGAUCAAGAGUGUGUGAAGCUUUUGAGAAUUGUGGUUGAACUCAUUUGAUGAAACUCUUGUUGGCACCAUAAAUUGGUUUUGCUUCACACUGUCUUGAUCAAGAAUGUGAAGCUUUCUACGAGUUGUAGUAUUUGCAUUGUUACAGAAGAGAAAUGUCUGAAGCAGAUGCAUGAGGGCUGAAUAGCUUGAUCUUCGUAUGCCAUGCACUGAAGUUGUUAUUGGCUUGCAAUAAGACUUUGUUGGUGACUAUAACUCUUGUUGGGCAUACGUGCUCCCCUAGUUGAGUUGUCAAGCUUGAUGGUUUUUUUAUUAUUUAUGAAUGCUAGGAGUUCACAUGUACAAGUUGUACCACUCAUCUUCUAAUAGGUGGAAUGAAUGGUGAGUUGCUUUCAUCACUUGGUUGAUGGUACGAAAGUGAGUUCCUUCAUUACCUUUCAUCACAUUUCAUCACCUGGUUGGUGGCACGAGGAUGAGUUCCUUCUUCACCUGGUUGGUGGCAUGAAUGACAAGUUGCCAAAUGAUAUUAGAGUACGGGUUGUACAUUUCAUCACCUGGUUGGUGGCAUGAAGGAGAGUACGGGUUGUACAUUUCAUCACCUGGUUGGUGACAUGAAGAUGGGUUCCUUCUUCACCUGGUUGGUGGCAUGAGUGGCAAGUUGCCAAAUGAUAUUAGAGUACUGGUUGUAUAUUUCAUCACCUGGUUGGUGGCAUGAAGGAGAGUACGGGUUGUAGAUUUUAUCACCUGGUUGGUGACAUGAAGAUGAGUUACUUCUUCACCUGGUUGGUGGCAUGAGUGGCAAGUUGCCAAAUGAUAUUAGAAUGCAGGUUGUACAUUUCAUCACCUAGUUGGUGGCAUGAAGGAGAGUACAGGUUGUACAUUUCACCACCUGGUUGGUGACACGAAGAUGAGUUCCUUCUUCACCUGGUUGGUGGCAUGAGUGGCAAGUUGUCAAAUGAUAUUAGAGUACGGGUUGUACAUUUCAUCACCUAGUUGGUGGCAUGAAAGAGAGUACAAGCUGUACAUUUCAUCACCUGAUUGGUGGCAUGAAGAUGAGUUUCUUCUUCACAUUUCAUCACCUGGUUGGUGAGAAUAAGGGCAAAGUGUCGAGGCACAUUGUAGCAAGUUUCGAAGACACAAAGUAUGUUGGAUCCUUUCGAAGCACAGUUGGCUUAUGUAUGGAUGUGUUGGAAUGUAUGAUGUUUAUGUAUGAAUGUGUUGGAAUGUAUGAUGUUUAUGUAUGAAUGUGUUAGAAUGUAUAAUGUUUAUGUUGAUUGAUAUGAGUGAUGCUUAUGAAUGUUUUGCUAUGCAUGAAGGGAUCCAUGCUUUUGAUAUGUGAACCAUUUUGGUUGUAACACUUAGUAUCACAUACUUUGUGUCAAAGUACGCAUGUUGAAGCUCUGAGUUGGAGUAUAAGGGUAGGUCAGCGUAGACCAAGUGUUCCACUGCUAGGAACGCAAAAGACUCAGAAGAAGUUAUAUGAAUUCCCUAUUCUUUAAAUAUUUGCCGAAUGGCUUGUGUGGCAAAAGAUCUCAAGCGGUUGAGAGUCAAAACAUUUGUAAUAUGUAUACCUUCUUAUAAUAGCAUUUCCUUCAGUACCUAGUCAUCCACUUUGAAAGAGUGAGGCUUGGCCCCAUAGUCAUAAUAGUCGACGGUACGUUCAUCCCUGGUUGUCUUGAUACAAACUUGUAUCCCUCUUGUUGUAAUGGGCUUGCUGAGAGUAAAAAAUCAUUCUUUUUACCAAGAGACAGAUACGUUUGGUAACUUAGCGAGUAGCUAAAUGAGGCAGGAGAUGAUGCAAUUAGUGUCUGAAUGGCCAAUAUCUCCUCACUUGGUAGAACUUGACUUCCACUUCCCAUUUGUUGAUAAGGGUUAACCAUAUGGGGGUUCCAUUGGUAUGUGCUUGCUUCGGUGGAUGCGUGGUUAUACGCCUGUGUCGUCACCUCAAAGUAAGUCUUCCAAGUGUUGGCAUUGAUCAUGUACUUGAAAAAACAAUCACGUAGGCCUGCCAUGAAGGCCUUGAGGGUGGCUUUGUCAUCUGCCUCAGCGCAGCAAGAAUACUCAUGGCUAAAGCGACCAGCAUACUUUCGUAGUGACUCAUCCGGCUUCUGGCGAAUAGUAUACAAGUCAUCUGCAGAAUACAAGUGAUCGGUUUAGAAGAUGUGUUAAGAAACAAACAGUUUCCUCAAUUCCUCAAAUGAGUCUACUGUCUCAGGUGGAAGACGGCAAUACCAGUUUAGAACUCCGCCAGAGAGGGUGGAGGGGAAGAGAAUAUAUCGUUCUUCAUCGAUGUGCAUCUGAUAUGCCAUGGUGGACUCAAAGAGGUUAAGGUGUUCAGUUGGGUCUUCUCUUCUAGUAUAGAGUUGUAAACCAAGCUUUUGUUUUGUCUUCGCUUGAAGGGGGUGUCGAGGAUCCUUCUUGUGAGAGGGCUAGGCCUGGGUUGGUUCCAGUCAGGUAUCUCAGCCUGACGUUUGGCCUUCAACUUGUUUACUUCCUUAAGGAGCUUUAGGACAAGGGGGUCCUGAGUAGAGUCAUGUACCACUGGAAUUUUUUUUCGUAAGUCUCCAUCGCCUCUUGGAAGUAGGAAAGUUUAAAUAAGGGCGUGUGGUUUUUUCUUGGACUCGCUGUACUGACUUCUAGGGCGAAUCUGUCGGAAUACCUCAGAGUCUCCCGUACCUUCAUGUUCCUCUGGGACCUGUCGUUCAUUUCCUAGAUUGGCAGCUGGCCUGGGUCGUGAGAGGGGACCGAGUCUUUCAGAAACCCUUGGGUCAUUGAUCUUCGAGCAUAUGUGGAAAGGAUUCUCUCGACGUUGCUUUAGGAAGUCUCGGCAGUCACAAUAAACGGCUUUCGAUCCUUCUAACCCUUCUGCAAUGAGGUGUCUUCCUCCACUUCUUCUACUUCGGGUUGAAGCAUCUGGGUUGAGAGAAAUCUCAUAUUGAUCAAUGUUUUGAUGAUUAGCUCGCUCCUCAUCAGGGAUACCCAUGUCGAAAGGAGGUGACCCUCCGUGUUGGGGGGCACCUGAUGAUGGUUGAUGUCCACAGAUGCAACGAGCUCGUGUGUUUAAGUACGCCUAGUUUUGUUGAACGUCUCAAAGAGCUUCUCAUACUGCUACUAGAAAACCUCAUUCUUCAUUGCUAUCUUGUUGUUCUGAGCUUCUAGCUCAUCGACUUUAGCUUGAAGAGUAACCCUCUUUCCUUCAUUCUUUCGUUACUUCACACUAGGUUCAAAAGGGGUAUCACUCUGUGUGCUGUGGCUUCCUUCGCUCCCUAUGUUAGAGAGGGAUGCCUGUAAAAAGAGAAUGUACAAAUGGUGGAAACUAGCUUGGCAAAGCUGAAGAGAAUGGGAAUAAGUGUCGUUCCCACAGAUGGCGCCAAAUGUUGAUGCACAAAAUCAGUGAGGACUUUGGUACAAUAGAUAGUGUUAAGUUUGUGACCUUCGCUAGAUUGCUCCGGUCACUAGUGUGGAUAAGUAUGCAAAUGGAUAAAGACAAGGAAGCAAACACAAGAUGUACGUGGUUCACCUAGAUUGGCUACGUCCACGGAGUAGAAGAGUUCUUAUUGAUUGUGAAGGGUUUACACAAGUACAUAGGUUCAAGCUCUCAUUUAGUGAGUACUAGUGAAUGAUUUAGUACAAAUGACAUUAGGAAAUAUUGUGAGAGAAUGAUCUCUAUUUAUAGAAGAGAGCUUCUAGUUUCAUUCUGACAUUGACACGUGUCGUGUUGUGAUUGGCUUCUGCUAUUGACACGUGUCGCGCUAUGAUUUGCUUCUAAUGUAGACAUGUGUCACGCUGUGAUUGGCUUCCUGGUUUGAAGGAAACUCUUCUGGGUCCUUGACUGUAUAACGUUGACCGGUGCUCAGUAGUUUCGGGAUUGGUCAAAUAUGGUACAAACAAAGACUUUGCCGAUUGGAGUUGGAGUGGUAUAUGGAAGCUUAAGCUACCUCCUCGAGUGCUUCAUUUUUUUAUGGCUAACUCUGCAUGGGAAAUUGCUUUGCAAUGAACAGAGAGCUAAGAGAAGUAUGACUGAUAAUUCCUAUUGCGACUUUUGUGAUGGUUGUGUUGAAUCUCUUGAUCAUAUUCUUCGACGGUGUGAUCGUGCAAAGUUAGUGUGGAAUCAAUUGGGUAUGCAUUCAAUUGUUCUGUCCUCAGUUGAUAUUGACUUUCAUGAUUGGAUGAGAGUGAAUCUUUUUUCAAAAGAUUACUCUGCCAUAAUCUGCCUUGGUGGGAUGUUUUUGCCUUUGCUUGUUGGUGGUUGUGGAAAUGGAGGAAUUUAAGCAUUUUUGCAUCUGAUUUCAUUUUCCCAAGUCAACCUCAGAUUCUCAUUUUUAAAGCUGCUAAAGAAUGGUUUAAGGUGCAAAAUUUUGGUGCUAAGCCUGUCAAGAGUAGGGUUUUUUUAGCCUAGGAUCCUCCUCCUCUUAAUUAUGUCAAGUUGAAUGUGGAUGGCAGUAGGAAGAAUGGCAAGGGGUGCUCUAGUGCUGGUGGGAUUUUACGUGCUGCUGCAGGUGUGUGGAUUGCUAGUUUCACUAUAAAUAUUGGUGUGGGGAGUGUGCUUAAUGUUGAGUGUGCUUAAUGCUGAGUUAUGAGGUCUUUUCAUGGCCUAACUCUUGCUUGGAGAUUGGGUUAUAGAAAAGUGUUUGUUGAAUUGGACUGCGCUGUGGAUAUUACUUUAAUAAUGGAUUUUAAUUCCUCUAUGUACCCUUUUGCUCAUCUCAUUACUGCUUGCCAGGAGUUAUUGCACAGGGAUUGGAUUUGCUCAGUUUCACAUGUUCGUGAGAAUAAUAAAGUGGUUGAUGGUAUGGCAAAUUUAGGCCAUAAGUUUGACAUUGGUCUUCAUGUUUUUUAUGAGCCUCCUCUUCUUGUGGAUAGGUUGAUCUUUGAGGAUGUUGUUGGGUUUCCUCAUACCCAUUUUGUUAAUAGUUAGUUGUUUUUCUUGGGUCUUUUGACCACCAAUUUUACCAAAAAAAUAAAUAAAAUAUAAGCUUUGAAAAAGUCCACUAUGAUGCGAAAUAUAUAAGCACACAAAUUAAACCCUCUUUUUAUCAAUUGUAGUAAAGUAUGUAAGUAGGGAUCGUUCUAGGCCGGGGAUUAGGAGGGAUUGCUAAAUCACUUGGAAACUGACUUGAAAACGUGAAAACAAAGUUUAAAACACUAACUAGACUCAAAGAAUGCAAAACUAUACUUUAAAACACUAAAACAAACCAAAAGACUCAAAACAGCCCCUAAACACUCAAAACUACCUUAAACACACAAUCUGGGCAGUUUUGGGACUCUAACACAAACUUGGACGAAUUUUGGUUUUCUAAUGAACUAAAACACUUAAAAACAUAAUCUAAGACAAGUUCUAAUUAAUAUGACUCAAAGAAAUAAGAUGGGGUUGAUUUUGGACGAAAAUAAUUAAAUUAAGACAAGAACAAAGUAAACAAAUUCUUGGACAAAUUUAAGUGAAUCAAAACAAAUUGUAAAAUGAAUUUGAAUGAAACUUAUGGAUAGAAGGCUAGCUAGGAGGUUCUUCUCCACACAUGUCACACUUGCAUACAAAACGAUUUCCAGUUGCUUUCGAUAAGCUAUGAAUACUCAACGCCCCAAAUUAACCGUGAAUUGCACUAAUUAACCCUCAGUUUUUCCACAAGUUAUUGGAUUGGAUGAUUGCAUACGACAACCCAAAACAUUCCCUACAAGUUCCCUACAUGAAUUGCAUAAUAGAGAUACAAGCAAGAAUCAUUAAGUUCUAUGAAAAACAUAAGCAUUGACGAGGCACUUGUUACUAUGAUUUGCAUGAAACUUAUGCCAAGAGUUUACUUAACGUGAUUGUGACUAGCAACCUUUACUACUUGUGAAUAUAAGUUUAUAACAAUUAGGUGAAACUCCCUUAUAUUCUAGCGUCAAAUUCAUGCAUGAAAAUUAAGCGUGCACUCUUAACCAACAUACACAAAUUAGUUUUUAUAUGAACGGAUAAGUAAAUUGAAUUCACAACUUAUGAAUCACAACUGGAUGUAAUCAAAUCAUAUUGCAAGUAUGAACAUAGUUUCGAAUCACCCCCUAACUAAGAGGGGUUUAGUUCCUCAUACUCACAAAGCAAAGAUACAUAAAAUUAGACAUUAAAAUCAAAGGAAACAAAACACCUAAAAUGCUCCAACUUGGUAGCAAGUGCAUCCAAGAUUCCUCCUUUCCCUUGCUUGCGGCAAAUUGGGUUAUGGACAGAUUUUGGGUAGUUUUUAUGAUGUAGAAUGGAUGGGGAAUGGUAUGGAAGGGUUUAGGGUGAGUGUGGAGGAGUGUUUGAUGGUUGGAGGGUGGUGGAGAACUAGGCAAAGAGGGUGGAAGAAGGUGGAGUGGCUGUUAUGUUUUUUCUAGGCACUAGAAUGGUGUUUUUGGGUGUUUUGCUUCCUAGGGUGUGUAUGGACGAAUUUUUGUGAUAAAAUGAUGAAUAUGUGGGAUUGUCCUUUGGCCAAGGGGUGUAAACAUGUAUUUAUAGGCCCCCAAAAAACCUUAGAAAAUCAGGUUAGGUUAAGGAUGAAAUGCAUGGCAAUUUGUGUGUGUGGUGUGCAAUGGUCCAAGGGUGAAAAUGAAGUAAUGAUGCAAAGUGUGAAGGGUAAAAUGGAGUGGUGUUGUAGCUAGGGAGCAUGAAUGAUUGUGUACAUUGCAUAGAGAUGGAAAGGGAGGUGAAAUGUGUGUCAACAAAUGGGUCAAAGGUGCAACAACAUGUGUUGCACAUGGCAUUGGAUUCCAAAUGUGAAUGAUGGAGCAUCAAUUGGUGCAUGUAAUGGAUGUAAAUGUUGUCUAAAAUCUAAUGAGUGAAGGGAACAAGAGGUAUCAAGCAAUUGAGUGUAAUAAUUAAAUGAAUUGAAGCAUGAAAUUAGAAAUUAUGUAGGGGACAAGAGUGAUCAAGCAUGGCAUGGAAUCCAAAGGGAAUUCUAUGUGGUUUGCAUGGCAUGGAAUGCAAGUUGGGGUGACAGAUUUUUGGGCUGUUUUCUUCAUCUUUUGGACCAUAAUUCUUCAUAUUCUUGGCCUCUUUAGUUCUCAAAUUCGUCCAUCCACUUGGCCCAUGCAUUUGCUAUCCAUUCCAAGCCCGAAACAUGCUCCAAAGGCCUCCAAAAUGCAUCUUCUUGCAUACUUUGUCCAUAAAAUCUGAAAACACACGAAAAUGAUUUUAAACAUUAAAAUAACUAAGGAAACACGACAUAAAUGCACAAGAACAAGCCAACUAAGUCGCAUAAAUGUGCUCCUAUCACACUACACCUACUCAGUUGCGGGCCGUGGCCUAUGUGACUUUGGUUCCAUUGAAAAUGGCCAUACGUUGCUCGGCCUAUCCCUCAUUCAUCGGACAAUGCAGUACCUCUAUCUCUCAUUCCUGCAAUGCACUUCGUAUAGGAAAAAGCAGGAAAAGAUUGGAAAAAAAAACUGAGGAAAUGGAUGAAUAAAAACAAUCCUAGAAUCUGAAAUUAAAAUGCAGGAUAAAAAGGAGAUAGAAAUCAAAAGCCAAAGAAACGAAAAGGAAACAAUACAAAAUUCAGUCGGAACGGAAUUCAAAUUACAAAAUUGAUUGCUUCGCUUUUUCAAAAUUUUAUCAAUUUUUGGAUUCGAAUUCAAGAGUGAUAAAAUUGGAGAGGGAACUCAGGGAAGAAAUUGAAGACUUGGAAGCCCUGGGCGAUGAGAGCGAGCAAUCGCUUGAGAGCCUCGCACUUGUCGGAGUCGAAAGGAAAGGAGCGACGCUGACGUAGUGGGGAUCCUAGUAGUGAUGGGCUUGAGUGCCGAUCUGGAACACCAUUGUCAAGGCCUUGCUUAGUCUCCUCUGUUGCUCCGAACUUAUUGAACAUCUUCCGCAACAGGUUUCUCUUUCUCCUGAAAUGGAUGGGAGCAUGUCUCUUUUCUAUCUGUUUUUUUUUUUUUUACUCUUUUUUCAAUGAACAACUACAAAUUAAACUAAGCAAAUAAAAAAUUAUUGGAAUUCAAUCGAAAUUAGCAGAAGAUCAAAAUUACACAAAAGAAAUGAACCGCCUUGGCAUGAAAAUUCAUGUACCCGUUGUGGCAUAACUGGCUCAACAUUCACCAUUUUCAAAAACCCCAAAUCAAAUCCGAACUGCAAAACCCAAAUCGAAAUUCAACAACAAUUGAACAAAAUGAAUAGGAUUAGAAAAUUUCAAUGUUGAAAAAGCACCAAAUGAAAGAAGAAGCACAGAUGAAGAAGCACCAAAACGGUAAGAGGGAUGAAAACACCACCAAAAAAGACUAUAUGAGAGGGUAUGGGAGGUUGAGUUGGUUUCUCCAGAACAGUACGGUUUUAAUCGUGCAACUUUGCAACCGCUAUAACUGCUCGUGGAGAGUUCACUAGGUAUAGAGAUGAGCAAUCAACGGGGUUAGAAUCAAUCUAAAAGUCUGAGCACCUUUCAUGUUAUUGUAUUACAAUUUUAACCCUAUUUUAUUUGUGUAUUACAAUUAUAGUCCUUCUAUAUAUGAAUGGUUUUAUGUUGUUUUUUUUUUUUUUUUUUUUGAAAUGAAAACAUAAUUGGAAUAUUGAAAGCUUCACCUAUUUGGGUUUCUCCCUUUAUAUAUAUAGAUACUAAAAUUUAAUAUUUUUCUUUCAAUAAAACUAUUCAAAUUUAAUAAGAUUAUACUAUAAGAUUUGGUCGAAUAAAAUUUAAAUCAAAAUAAUGUAUCCAUGUGCAUUUUUGGAUACAUUACUACAUAGCUUAUAUACAAUUUUUUAAGGCUAUGAAUGCAUUCUUUUGCCAUUUAUUAUUCAUAUUGUUACAUUGUUUUUAUCCAUUUAUUUAAUAAAAAAAAUUUGAAAUUCUUUUUUUAUCAUAGCCAUUUCAAAUAGAUAUAUAAAGAAAAUUGGAUAUCAAUUCAGAGGUUUGCACCCAACACGGUCGAUUAAUUAGGUUAGAAGUUCAAAUUUGAAAAUCAAGCUUCAUUUUAUAUGUUUAGCUGCGUGAUAUGUGGAUAUAUAUGGAAUAGAUUUCGGGAUUAUGGAUUUAGAUGCUAAUAGCAAGCCUAUUUAAUGUGCAUUCAAGUAUUUUGUACAAUGAAUUGCCACGGUGGAAAGCUGAAGGACUUGAAUAAAAAAAAAUUAAAUGAAUAAGGGUUUAGUCUAAGAAGUUAUCAACCAAAGGACCGAAACUCAAAUAUCUCUAGAUAAAAACUUAUUUUUAUCGAUAAAAGAAAAUUAUUUUUAUCGAAUUUCUAACGUAUAUGGACACAUGGAAGUUGGAACCACUUGUGUGCCUUUUCGUUAUUAUUUUUGUUUCUAUUAUCAUGGGGCCCACUGAUGUAAUAAUGCGUAUUUGUUUUGCAAAACACAUUUUUCAGAACAAAACGUGAUGAUUUAGCCUUCACCAUUUCGAAUAGGUGAGUUAUAAAUAGAAACCACCCGUAAAAUUAUUUAGACGUGGUAACAUGUAUGCCUUUAUUAAUGGUGUUGAGCUCGUAAAAAAUAAGGAAUUUUAACGAAAAAUUCUUGUUAUUGUUCAUUUUAACGAAAAAUCACAUUUUUACACUAAAAAGUCAACCCUAGUACUAUUUAUUUUAUCCUUUAUUUUGUCUUUAUCGUUAAAACUCAAAAUUAUUAAACAUUUUUCAUUAAUUUUCCCUAAAAAAUAUAUAGACGUGGAGGCUCGAGCCAUAAAUUAUCAUGUAUAUUUAUACCAUGGCAGCCCACUAAAAUGCUAUUUUUUGUUUCCUAGAGUGUAAAACAUCUUGUUUGUUGGUCUGGUUAUUUUCCAAUACUAGUAACCACUAAUUACGUGUCUCGAUCGUGAUCUUUAACUGCGAUUAGCGCUUCGAUAUACGUGAUAAGUCCUCUAUAUUUGGGGCAAAGGCUUCCAUUUUUUAAGAAAAUUCCGAUUUAGUCAUUUUACUGUUGAAGCAACCUUCAUCAGUCGAGUGGGUGACUUGUAAAUAGAAACCACCAGUAAAAUUAUUAAGUUUCACUCAAGCCAUACGUGGUAACAUGUAUGACUUCAUUGAUGGUGAUGGGGCCCGCAAGAGAAAGGUGGACGCAAAACAACUUGAGGCCCAUGAAAGUCGUUGCUGUCACAUCCGGCCGAGCCCCCACCAUAUCUCGAGCUUGAUUUUAUCGUAGCACGAUAUUGUCUGUUUUAGGUCCCAACCACAUCCUAACGGUUUUGUUUCUGGAAACUCAGACGAGAACUUUCUAGUGGGUCACCCAUCAUGGGAUUACUUUCGCGCGAACUCGCUUAACUUUGGAGUUUUGAUGGAACCCAAAGCCAGUGAGCUUUCAAAAUGCCUCGUGCUAGGUAGAGAUGGGAAUAUACAUAUGAGGCUUACAUGAUCCACUCCCCUGGGCGAUGUGGGAUGUUACAAUCCACCUCCCUUAGGGGCCUGACGUCCUCGUCAGCACAUUUCCGACCAGAGAUUGGCUCUGAUACCAAAUUGUCACAUCCCAGCCUGGGCCCCCAACACAUCCCGGCUCGACUCCGCCGUAGCACGAUAUUGCCCGCUUUGGGCCCCAACCACACUUUCAAGGUUUUGUUUCUAGAAACUCACACGAGAACUUUCCAGUGGGUCACCCAUCAUAGGAUUGCUCUCCUGCGAACUCGCUUAACUUUGGAGUUCCGAUGAAACACGAAGCCAAUAAGCUUCCAAAAGGCAUUGUGCUAGGUAGAUAUGAGAAUAUACAUAUAAGGCUUACAAGAUCCACUUUUCUAAACGAUGUGGGAUGUGCCGAGUUUUAGCUCUUGGAAAAUAUGGGCAUAAUGGGACCAUUAUGGGAAAAAGAUUUUUGUUUUUUGUUUUUCGGGAGUUACGCACCACAUCAUUAGUCAAGUUCACCAAAUUGAUAGGAAUAAAUGUCUAGUUGCAACUUAUUAUUUUGUUAUAAAUAUAUCAAAGUUAGAGAGAUAACCUUUAUAUUGAGUGAAACGAAGCAGAGGUAAAAUAUCACACGGUAAUUAAAACACAAGGGGAUGGCAAAUUAAAGAGGGAGGAAUAUAUGAUCUUAUUGAACUUUCCUUCUUUCUGAUGUAUUCUCUCUGUAUGUUAUUGCAGGCAUACGGAGCGCUCUAUUUAUAGAGCAGCUCCAAUCAAACCCAUUAAUUGUACAUUCAAAAUUUACAACAUAUACUUUGAAAAUGUGAUUCCUACAAUUCCAAAGUCUGCUGCCAAUAUUUUCAUUAGUCUGUAAUGUUGAAAAUCCAUUUGUGGGCAUUCAAUUAUCGGCCAAUGUUGUCAACAAUGCUGAUAUUUUCAACAUAUUUUUCUUUUUCUAAUAAUAAAAAACUAAAUUCCAAAGAAUAAUAUCCUCGUCUUCCUAAUUUUGCCAAAAAUUCUGAAAAAAAAUCGACCAUUUAGAAAGCGACAACGAAGGGUAAAUUAUUUUUUCGAUGUUUUGAACUCCUGUUGUCUUUUCGCACACGUUGAUAUUAUAUACAUUAAUAACUAACUACACAUUACGCAAUUAAUACAAUAAAAAACAAUUAAACUUUUUUUCCAAUUUUAUUCCAAAAUGAUUAGAGAUUCAAAUAUGUUAACCUACAGAAAUGUAGUGAGAGAUAGAGAAGAGACUUGAGAGAUUAUAGAGAGAGAAGUAGAGAAUGGAAAGCUUCAGUAUAUUUUUUUUUCUUAACAACUACGUAAGUACACUCAUCAGUAUUUAUACUGUUCACUACUUCUAUCACCUUAACUAACUAACUAACUAACUUAUACAAGUGGUAAAAUCACAUCCACACAACCUAUCUCUAUCAAAAUAGAGCUUCAUUUUGUGAAUGAAGUUAUAAAAAACAACGUUCUUAUUAUUACUUUAUUUAUAAUUUAUAGUAUUCUAUAUAUACUUAUAGUUAGGCUCCUCUUCUUGAGAAUCCAUACAUCCCUUAUACUAAAGUAUAUGGACAGCUAUCUCUCGAGCACAUGUUUAGGUUCGGCAUUAAUGGAAAAAUAAAACGGAGCACCUAACAAUGUAUCUUCACAAACUAAGAACUACGAGAUCGCCCCUCUCAUUCUGGGAUGCAUUCUCUCUUCCUAUUUUCCAACUUGCCUUUUUAUAUUAUAAUUUAUAAAAACUCAUUUUUAUCAAUAAAAGACAAUCCUUUUUAUCCAAUUUCAAACAUACAUCUACAUGAGUAAUGUUAGGAAGACUAAAUUUGAAAACUAAAAUUUGAAAACUAAAGGACAUGUAAAUUGAUGAUUGGUUUAUUACUUAGGCGUUCAUACACGUACUUAUUUUUAUUGGUGACACAUCAUUUAAUUUGCAAAUUUAGUAUUUCUAGCAUUACUCCUACAGACCACUUGUGUGCCUUUGCAUUAUUUUUUUUAUAUUCUAUUAUCAUGGGUCCCACUAGUAAUAAAUAAUACAUAUAUGUUUCUCAAAGCAUAGUUUUCAACACGAAACGUGGUGAAACUGCUUCUCUCUCCCUCACCCACUCGUUGUGUCCCUUGUUGUCUAAUUGGGAAUUGGAUCCUCUCCUGAGCUGUCAGGAUCCUCAUGAUCAGCCCACGUAAGCUAUUGAAUUUUAAUUCAACGGCUACAAUUAUUAUAAUUUUUAGAAGGAUUUCUUGUUUGUAGUCGCACGUAGGCUAAUCAGAGGAUCCUAAGCUUGUGCUCAGGAGAGGAUCCAACUCCGUCCAAUUGAUAUGUAUUUGCUUUUCAAAGAAUAUAAUUUACAAGUGAAGAGAAAUUUGAUACUUACAAAUUUUAAACUAAGAAAUAGUAAAAAUAAUACUAUUACAUUUUAUUGAUGAACUCGUAGUAUGCAUAUCCAUUCAAGGACAUAAAGGUUGAAGUAUCUCGCAAUACACUGAUACUAUCACCUAGCGAAUGAUGUCUCUUUACGGAACUACAAAUCUACAACUCAACAUUUAAAAGGCGGAUCCUUUUCAUGGUACAGCUUUUAUUUAUUACAUGUAAUGAAUAGACAGAAGAACGACGUUGACAGGGAGACUAAGAUGUCGCUACGAGUGAGCUCCCGGAUCAUGAAAUAACUAAUACUGCUACCCUUCUGCAAUGCUGGAUCAUAAUAGCGAAAUCUCUCCAACCACCACUCAAACUUCACUAAGCUGACUCCACGGGGAUACACUUUGCGUGGUCAUCACGGAGCAGGCAAAAGAACAGACUUUGGAAAUGACGCAGAUCCAUUGUUAGGAGCACCCUGAAUAUUGAGAAUCGUUGUGACCAAAUUGUAUAUGUGGACAUUUUCAAAACUAGGAACCUUGCGACCUCUUUCAAACCGAGGACCAUGCCCAACAAAUAUGGUCCGCAUGGAGAAAAAAGCAUUGUCAUAACCGUGUGCACCUCCACACUCUCUCCCUUUCGUCCUCUUUUGUUCUACCUUAAAUCCCUCUUCAACCAACCCUACUAUAGGCGUAAUUCGAUCACUCGCUGCAUAAUGGAGCCGACUAGGAAGCUCCUCCUUAAGAUACACUCUCAAAUUCUUCCCAUUCUCAACCUUGCCCGAUUUCAACCCUUCAUUCAUCUUCUCAACAACACUCACAGGAUCAACACCUGAAGGUGGACGAAUGGCGAGCAAUGGAGUAAGUGACUGGACCCAAUCAUUAGGAAUUUCAAUCCAAGGGGCCAAAUCACUUAAAUAAAUUAGCUUUUUAUCGCAUGUACCAACCAUCCCAUGAUCACCCCACCAAAAUUAUAGUAACAUCCUCGAAAACACCUUUUUUCUCUAAACCUUCAAUCAACCUCCCAAUCAUUUUAUCAAUUCCAGCAACAGCUUCAGUAAUCUCCCGAUCGUCAGGCCCGACCUGGUGACCCUGAUGAUCGGGAUCCUCGAAGUACAGAGUCAUAAACACAGGAAUUUCACUACUAGGCAUAUCAAAGUAAUUCAAAACGGCAUCAACCCGUUGUUCGAAAGGAACAGAGCCAUUAUACUGCAUACAAAGCUUAUCAGGGCAAGUCCAAGAACCUUUAAUUACCUCAGAACCCGGCCAGAAGUAAGUGGCAGCCUUCAAACCAUGAUUCGCCACCGUCUCCCACAGCGGCUCGCCGAGCCACCACUUGGACUCGUGGCUUCUCAUGGUGAAGGACUCCCCUGUGUGCGGGUCCACAAAGUGGUUGUCGACAAUUCCAUGGUAAGCAGGGUAAAGACCUGUGACAAUUGAGUAAUGGUUAGGAAAUGUCAGAGUUGGAAACACCGGAAUCAAACCCUCUUCCGCCUCCGUCCCGUUGGCGAUGAGGCGGCGGAUAUUCGGCGUCGGCGCCUUGAACUGGUACCCGAAUCGAAACCCAUCCGAGGAAACCAACAGAACAACCGGAUGAUCGAGUUUUCUCAAAGCUCGAGCCUUGUAUUCCAGUGACGAGGACUCGUAGACGGGCGCGGAUUUCGGUGAGUUGGAGAAGAAUAGAAAGGCGAAGGCGAAGGCGGCGGAGAGAGCAACGCAGGUGGUGAGGAGGAGAGAGAUGAAGAUGACGGUGGUGCUGGGUUUGUGAGAAGGGGAAGACGAUGGGGUCGGAGAGGCGGAGGGGUCGGUGUUGAAAGAGAGCAGCGCCGCAGAUGGGCUCCGCGACCGCGAGUCUUCGUCGUGGGUCGGAAUCGGAGUGGAUUUCACGGGAGUCAAAUCCGAACCCAUCAGAAGAAACCAGGUGAUUGUUUCUGGUUCGUUUUUCGAUGGGUCGGAGAUUGAAGGAUGUGGGGUUUAGGGGUGAGGUGUUUAGAGAGAGAGAAAGUGUGGGGUUGGAGUGAGCAGAAGGGAUUAAAGGUUGGGUCUUUGGGUGGAGUUGCAGACAGUGGCUUGGUAGAGCUUUUGGAGAAGACCGCUUUUUAAAGAUUUUUUGGUUGACGUGAUUUGAGCUGGAAGGAAGGUUUCUACGAGUCUACGGCACCGACUUUGGUGUUAGAUUUGGCGCAUCUAAAUUCUAAAGAGUAAAUUAUACAAAUGGUCCCUCAAUUUUAAUCAAAUUGGAGCAAUGGUACCUCAACUAAAAAUCCAUUACCAUUGGUCCCUCAACUUAUCAAAAUGUGUAGCUAUAGUCAUUUUCAUCAAUUUUGUCAAAAUAAGCUAUGUUGGAAUUACCAUUUAUAUAAUUAGGUACAUUAACUCAUCAAAGUGUAUAAUUAUGGUUCUUUUUGUCAACUAUGUCAAAAAAUUUGUCAAAACGAGUUAUAUUGGAAUGACCAUUGCUACAAUUGGGUUAAAGUUAAAUGACCAUUUCUCCACUUGAAUUAAAGUUCAGGGACCAAUGGUAAUGGAUUUUUAGUUGAGGGAUCAUAGUUGCACGUUUUGAUAAGUUGAGGGACCAAAGGUAAUGAAUUUUUAGUUAAGGGACCAUUGCUCCAAUUUGAUUAAAGUUGAGGGACCAUUUGUACAAUUUACUCAAAUUCUAAACGGUAAAAAUACGUAUGUGUACAACUUUUUGUAUUUAAUAUUUACUUCUUUCAUUUCAUGCUUAUUUUUCAAUAACAUGUAUUAAAAAGGACAAUCUUCUCAUUAAAAAAAUGAAAAGAUAAUGCUUGAAUCCAAUUGUUUGGGCGUAAAAAUGAGCACAAUUGCAUUAGGAUUCAUACACCCGAUCUUAUUUAAUGUGAUAAGGCUUAGUUGUUGUUUAUUAUAUUGUUUGGGCCCAAAUUUACACCAUCGGCCUGUGCAAUCAAGGCCGUUGAGUGAGCAUAGCUCUCAACCGUUGGAUGGAAAAGUGAAGAUAAUUUUGUUGUUGUUAAAAGAUAAUAUUAUGGUUCUUAUCAUAAUAAUUAUCUUUUAAUUAUCUUGACAUAUGCAAAUUAUAUCUCUAAAGUGGUACAGUUCAAAUUAAAUUGGGAUAUGCGUGACAUCAGAUAGUGAAGCAUGCAGAUGAUAGUCAUACAACUGCAAAUGGACUAAUGCAUGCACAGAUAGAGAAGCCUAGGUAGGUUUGACUUUUGGUAGUGAUGUGAUAAGCCUAGGAUUUGAUGGUGGAGAGAGAAGCAUAGGUAAGCUAGGUCUUUGGUCAUGAUGGGAUAAGCCUAAAUAGUUUUUAUAUUUUGUUUGAAAAGUCAGCCAACCUAUGCCACGGAUCAGAUUUCAUUCUGCGAGGAAGAGUUGCAGUCAGACUCUGCAACAUUACAUGACCAUGCAAGCCAAGUACUUCAGUCUUAUAAAUACAGAUGCAAUGGUAACGGAAAAGAGGCCCCUCCAAUUCAACACACAACUGCCUUGCGCAAACUCUCUCAACAACUUGAGAUUUUUAUUUUCUCUUUUCGCUGACACAUCUUCCGUUGGCAUCAACAGCACUGUGAAAGCAACCGGUGAUAUCUUCAGUCGGCAUAGAUAACUCUGUCGCCGUAGAAUCAGCCGAUCUUGCAACAUCUUUCGUUGGCAUCAACAGCACUGCGGCAAUGACGGUUGGUUACCUAUCCAAGUCUCGGUCGAGAAGGGUUUCCAAAUCCUUAUUGAUUGAGGUCAUCUCAUUAACCUUCUCGGCGAAGUGAAGUGUUAUAGCUUACUGAGCUCAGCGCAUUGCACGCCAAGUUAUUUUAUGAUUGGAUACUUUCAAGUAGGAUUUAAAGUUCGGCAUUCAGACGGUCGAACACCGUUUACUAUUAAGACUUAUAUCUGCUUUGAGUAUUUGUGCCCUUACACUUUGGUGUCGAUUCGGCGUGAGUUUACUCUGACGAAUACCAUCACUGUGACCGAAUUCGACGACGACGAUUCGUGAACUUCGUAAAAAUAGUAGCCUUGUCUUCAGGUUCGAGGACCAAAGAGGCCGAGACGUGUUCCUUCCUCAGCCCCAAUCGCAAGACGCAGAAGUCAGUCGCGCACCUAACGCAACAUCAACAAAUUUACUCAUCGGCCGAGCUCGGCCGACGAGUUGGCACGCCCCGCAUUCACCAAAUGACGUAGUUAGCUUAUAGAUUACUCGGCCUGAGCGCCACGUAGGCUUGGUAGUUUUUAGGAUCAGAACAUAUGAAUAAUGAAUUUAUACAUCUAUUUCAAUUUUGUCUUAUGAACUAAAAUUUUAAGAAAACCUGUCCUAUCCAUAAUUAAGUCACCGUAUAUUGUGUUCAUGGUUAUUUUAGAUUUUAGACUUUUUUUUUCAUUUCAUUGCUUGUGAGAAUAUAAUUAAUAAAAUCAAAGUCAAGUUUGAUAUUUAUCAUUGUCUUAGAAGACAAUUAUAUUUCAGGAACAUGUGUUAUAUGUCAUGAGGACUAUAAUGUUAAAGAGAAACUCGAUCAGAAUUUUGUAAGUCGUUGUAUUAAGUUUUAUGUUUGUUUUACCAUAUAAAAAAUAUUAACUGAUUAUGCGCACUAAGUAAUGAGCAAGGAUUUAAAUAUCAAAAAUAUCGGCGAAAUAUUUUCGUUUUUUUGAGUUAUAAUAUCGCGAUAUGACAUCCAAAAAUUCUUAAAAUUUUCUAAAAAGUCUCAAUUUUGAGACUAAAGGGAUUCGAACCCCCUCCCAUUUGACUCUUAACGCCUUAACCACCAUAUCACUUAUGUUGUUGUGAUAAUAUGCUACUAUAUUUAUAUAUAUUGUUUGUUUUGAAUUCUUUUUACAAGAAACAAAUUUGCACAUAUUCCAAAUUUUUUGUGGUAUUAUAUUUUAAAUUGUGUCAAUUAAUUACUUAGUCAAUGGCAUGUGGUUUUUAAUUUUUCUAUUUUUUAUUUGGUCACUUACAUGGUAGGGCUGGAAAAAAUUCCUGAAAAUCCCAAACCAAACCGAAAAAGUCCCAAACCCAAACCGAAAAAUCCCAAACCAAAACCAUCCUGAAGUUCGGGAAUCCCAUCCCGAAAAAUACCGAAAUUUUCGAUAUGGGAUUGGUUUCCAAAUCCCAUUUGUUUGGUAAUCCCGAAAAAUACCGAAGUAUUCGGUUUCCUAUUGACUUUUGGGUUUUGGUUCUUGAAAACCAUUGCCAUGGUUGCUGACUACUCUUCACAAUACACUUACUCUACAAAUAGAGAUGAUGAAGAUAGUGAAAAUUUUUGAACCUCAUAGGAACUCUAUGUGGUACUAAGUCACUCAUGUAUCUUACCAUGCAAUGUAUAACGUGUAAAAUAUUGUACUAAUUCAUUAUAUAUAAAUGAUUAUGGUGUGUUUAAACUUCUUUCAUUAAUUACUACAUAUUUUCUACAUUCACAAUGUUUGCCAGCUCGCUAUAUAAUCAACUUAAAUCAGUUAAAUCCAUCAUGCAAUGCAUUUCCUUCCAAUUUUUUGUGAUAAACUAAUAGAUAAUUGACUAAAUAAACAUCCUGCAAAGUUUCAAUAAAAAUUUCCAAGUUUUUCUUACAAUUUCCGUGGUUUCCAUGUAAUUUUUAUCGAUAUCGAUAUUAUCCCGAUAUUUCCAUCGAUAUUUCUGUGUUUUCGGACUAUCGAUAUUUCCGAUAUUACCGAUAUUUUCUUCCUUGGUAAUGAGAGAAGGUUGCUUAUAGUUCACUACAAUUUUAAAGUAGUAGAAGUACAAGAUACGGUCUAAAUUUUCAACUAAUUUGAAAAAUACAUGUCUGGAUUAACCUUAAAAAAAAAUUAUUAAAGUGAAUUUGCUAAAAAUAUAAUUAAUAAUAAAUUAAAAGUAUGUUUAAAAUCAUAUAUGACAUUUAAAAAAUAAUAAUUCUAAAAUAGAUAAGAAAGUAAGACGAUUCAAGAAAAACAAGAACAAUGGUGGAGCAAAACGACGUCAUUGAACCCUUCAGAAAACAAAGUAAGGUUGUGCUUGCAGAUACUGAGAGUGUUAGAUCGAGCAGACAGAGAGAUGGCGUACUUGAGCAUGGGAGAAGCUCACAGAAGAAUUACCGAUUACCUCAACCGCUUCUCCGAUGCCGUUUCGACCCAGGACGGAGCUUCCCUCAAGCAUCUCCUCUCUCUCUCCUCCAACAGCCCCGCCCUCCUCUCCCUCGCCGACGCCCUCAACGUCUUCCAGGUAAUACAUUAUCACCGGUGUGUAUAUUUGUAUACGUAUUUGUAUUUGUUUCAAUUUGGGAAUUUAGGGUUUUGAUUGGUGAGGGUUCUUGGUGUGUGACAGGACUUCAAUAGAUUGAUCAAACAGUCCGAUAACGACUCGCAGUUUGGCGAAAUUCUGGUGCAUCUCUUCCGGGCUUUUCAGAGUUACCGAAUUGGGACUUUCAUUGAUUCCUAUCAGGCAUAUGAAAAAUCUGCAAAGUAUUGAUCUUUUUUUUUAUUGAUUUUUUGUUUUAUUUAAUUCUGUUCUGUGUGAAAUUUUGCAUUUGGUUUUGGUUUUGGUUUUGGACUAAGGUUAACGAUGGAUGUGCAGUGCUUUUAUUCAGGAGUUUCGGAAUUGGGAUACGGCCUGGGCUUUGCCAGCAUUGUAUGUCAUUGCUUAUGAGAUUAGGGUUCUAGCUGAGAGGGUAAGACCCCCAGUUUCCUUUUUUAUUUAAUGAAAAGAAAAUUAAUUUGUACUUUAUUAGUGUUCUGUCAAGAUACGUGCUUUAUUUCAUAAUUGGUUGCCGAUAUGUUGGGAAGACGAAUUUAGUAGGACUGGCCUGUGUGGAACUUUUAUAGGCUGAUAAGGAAUUGGCUUCAAAUGGAAAGUCUCCAGAGAAGUUGAAGGGAGCUGGCUCUUUCCUUAUGAAAGUCUUUGGCGUUCUUGCUGUAAGAUUCUCUCUUUUGAUAUUCUAUUUAUUUCGCUACCCUUACUAAACUUUGGUUUGUAUUUUGUUCUCUUUGCAAGAAAAGUCCGUUCCUUUACUCAAACUUCUAUACAAUAAGAGUUAAUAUUUUCUUGGGUGUUUACGAACAAUUGUUUGAAUCUGUACUGCUAACUCUUUCACUGGUGUAUCCAUUAUAGGGAAAAGGCCCGAAACGUGUUGGAGCAUUAUACGUCACUUGCCAGUUGUUUAAAGUUUACUUUAAGGUAAUUUUUUCGCACACUUAUGAGUUCGGCAGUGCUUUUAAUAUCUGAAUUAGCUAUUGGGGUAUCUUUUGAAUGCUGAAUAAAGCACAAAUAGCUAGACCUGCACUAUGAUGAUCAUCAUUAUUACUUUGCAGCUUGGUACAGUUCACCUUUGCCGCAGCGUCAUAAGGAGCAUUGAAACUGCGCGAAUAUUUGAUUUUGAGGAAUUCCCUAAGAGAGAUAAGGUCAGAAUUGCCUUUGGUAGAGCAAAUGCAAUUUUUUUUUCUUUCCUUUUCUGCUCCCUCUCCUUUUGAAUUUGUUCUCUAUCGCAGCUAGUUUUUAUGUUUGUUCUUACUGUUGUACCGUGAUGUGCAGGUCACCUAUAUGUAUUAUACAGGUCGUCUGGAAGUUUUCAACGAAAAUUUCCCUGCUGUACGUAUUCUAAUUUUCAUGAUGUUCUGACGCCUUCUUGUAUAUUAAGCUAUUUAAGUGGUUGUUUGGUUUUGGUUCGGGCAUUACCCUCUGGAGUCUUGAAUCUAAAAUUUAGAGACACUGGAUGAAGAAGUGAGCAGUUCCAUACUUAUGCCUUACCAUAUUUUUAAGUAAAGAAAUUGGUUACCACUGUUAACAUCCAGUCUCAGCAGAUAUGUGCUCAAAUUAUAGAUUUGAUCUCAGUGAUGAUUGAUCUUGUACUUUGCCUGAAUACACUUAUUUCCAUGCCUGCAAAAAGCUCCAGAACUGAAAUCUGAGUUUCCAUCAGGUGUGUGCUAUUCACUAAAUCUACUUUUGUUACAUUGCAGGCUGAUCAGAAAUUAUCAUAUGCCUUGGAGCAUUGCAAUCCUCAGCGUGAAGCAAAUAUAAGGUAAGGUUUCAUCUGCAUGAUAGACUUUACCGCCGGGCCCCCCAGGGGGGGGGUGGGGGUGGUGGGAUUGUUGUUGUGCCUACAUAUUCUUCAGAUUGAAGUGUGAUGUUUAACUUCUUGCGAUAGGAAGUCAAAUGUUAGAUUUGUGAUAUGUUGUACUGUCUUUUAUUGUCCGACUCAUUGUUUCUCUUUUUGUAUUUACAUAGGAUGAUAUUGAAGUAUUUGAUACCUGUGAAGCUUUCAUUAGGCAUCUUACCAAGUGAUUGGCUUCUGGAAAAGUAUAACCUGGUUGAGGUAUGGCAGUCCCUUAUUUAUUUUAUUUGCAAGAGUUAUUAUUUAAAGCUUGAUGAUGGGAAAUGAGAUAUUCCGGUAUUGCUUAGCUAUGUUACUUCCCCCUCUCCCGUUUUCCAAAGUUGUGGCUAAACCCUAACUUAUAACUUCUUGCUUUUGCAGUAUAGGAAUGUUGUACAAGCUCUAAAAAGAGGUGAUCUUCGACUUCUUCGGCGUGCUCUUGAAGAGCAUGAAGAUCGGUACGUGUAUCAUGCAUUUUGAAAAUCUUGAGAUUGGUUAAAAUCGAUUUCCAAAGAUGGAACUGAUUCCUUCAAAAUGAAACAGGUUCUUAAGAUCAGGUGUAUAUCUUGUCCUAGAGAAGCUAGAACUCCAAGUCUACCAGAGAUUGAUAAAGAAAAUGUAAGCUCUCAUGCCGCUUUAUAAAAUUGAUGGUAAAAUUCCUCUGAAGAUUCAAUUCACGACUUCCCCAAUCUCGUUGUGCAGUUACUUCAUCCAAAAGCAAAGGGACCCGGUUAAAGCUCACCAGCUGAAAUUAGAAGUAAUUGUUAAAGCUUUGAAAUGGCUUGAGAUAGCCAUGGAUGUCGAUGAGGUACUUGUUUUCUCCACCUCUCUAUCUCUGGUAGAGUGGUUCUUGGUUUCUCCGUUUCUCUCUAAUCAAAUAUCUGGUGUAAUUUGCAGGUGGAAUGCAUAGUAGCCAUAUUAAUAUACAAAAAUCUUGUAAAGGGAUACUUUGCUCACAAGAGCAAAGUUGUGGUUUUGAGCAAGCAAGAUCCUUUCCCUAAAUUAAAUGGAAAGCCUGUCAAUUCAUAGAGAAUAUCGACACAAGUAAUCAGGUGAUGAAAAAUACAGUAUGAAAACGAGAUAUGCCGGCCAGUUCGUCAUUGGAAACCAUUUUUAUCGGCCCCGUGAAGAAUCGCUAUAUUGUACCCCUUGUAUCUUAACUUUUUGUGAAUCUCAGUAUUCUUAGUUAAUUUUUAGAACUUAACAGCCAUCUUAUGUUCCUGUUUAUGCUCAUUAUUCACCCAUCAAUUUUGUUCGAAGUCGAACCAAUGAUGCCCUUUAUGUCCGUAAAUCGGCUAUGGUAAACUCAAACACUGGCGAUUGCUGUGAAAUAAAUACGGAUAAAAUUCUGUAUGAAAGAGAUGCAUUAGCAUUAUGCACUUUAGAAACUUAACUCAUCUGAUAAAAUAUUGAAAAGGACAUCCAAAAUUGUAGAGGUUACUCGAAACACCAUACCAGACCCCAAAACGGGGAAGGAAAAAACAAAACAAAAACAAGCGAAAACAAUGUCUCUUCAAACUUGUAAUUGCUUCAACACAUAAGCCAUCCGCCAUUGGAAUAUGAUCUGAUAUAUAUCUACUCUCCGGCAUACGAAACAAACUGUUAAACUUGGACUUUCAAGCACCAUCAGAGUUCAGAGGGAAGGGUAGUCUGUAUGUUUGAAGGCAUCAGAAUAUUAUAACCAUCUGCCGCAGUUGAAACGAGCAUGCCAGGAAUCUGUGUGUGCCAAUGAAGUUCUUUCAAGUCCUUUUGUCCCUGUUGACCAUAAAUUACCAUGAGUUAAAUGACCGAAAAAGUGGGGCCUCUUGGAGUAGAACAGACAGUCGAAUAUGUUUACCUGAUGAACAAAUAAAAGCUGUGGAGGUAAAUCUUUUGGAGCAUUCACUUCCUCUUUUGUCUUCGCUUUGAAUUCUGCCUCUUCCUCCUCAUCAUUUUCUAAAGAAAGAUCCCAUAUUCUGGUAACAAAAGCCAAAUGACAAAUAUUUUGAGUUCAAACAUAAACAGCAUGAAAGCAUAUAAAUUUUUGUGCACGACAUGCCAUUUAUCACUUCAAUCUGGUCUGUAAAUAUUACUUACGUCAGCUGAUUGUCAGAAGAUGUCACAGCCAAAGUGGAUGCUUCAUGUGGACUCCACUCGAUGGAGGUGAUAGGGUGUUUAUGGUAUUCAAAAUGUGCCACUACAGAAUCUCCUUCCUACGUUCAAAUAGACGAAAGAGGACCAUAUCAUUUUAGAAUUAUCAACUUAAAGAAUCACUCAAAACAAUUUCAUUGAACCCAAUUUAGCAGUCAUGGGAAUUCCAACAAGACGUACCUUCAGCAAUCUAAGAUCACGAAUGGAAAAGGUGCCAUCAUCACUUCCAGAUGCCAGCAUACAACUAGCCAGCCUGAUAAGAAACAAUGAAGUGCCAAGGUCAUCAUUUCAUAUGUGGCACAAAUGUAUCAAAACAAAUAACAAAUAAGAAAAUAAACAUUGAAGGUUUGAAUAAACACCUAUUCCAAGACAUAACAUUCACAUCAGCAUUAUGCGCCUUAAAAGAAGUUGCUGGUGCCUUCCCCAUGCGUAUAUCCCAUAUUGCUAUAUUCCCAUCGACAGAACAAGAGGCAAAGACAUCAGGUUCCGUAGGACUCCACUGCAAAGAUAAAAGUUUUUUAAAAAGAAUACCGUCAAAGGAUUGGAAAGAUUAAGGAAAACUAUUCUAACUAGAUUGUUAGAUUGAUUAUAUGCUUUAAAACAACAGAUUUAGCUUCCCCUCCAAGCUACAUACUUGUAAAUCCUCCACACUUGCAAUAUGUCCAAUAUAUGGGGUAGUAUCAACAUUCCAUGUUGAACCAGAUGUAGGUUCCCACAAAUGUAUACAAUUCUUGCAGUCCCCUUUUAAAAUCAGACAUAAAUGAAUCAUUAGUUUCAAGCUUUCAAAUCAAGAAAGUACUAUGCCAUCACUUACACUUGAUAUAGAAAAAGAAAAAACAAAUAAAGUGACUUGAUAAUAGUACCAGAUAGAAGCCUUCCAGGUACAAGGGGACUCCAGUCUAGAGCAAACCCUUCAUCCUUAUGCCCAAAUUUAACCAAUGGAGCCUGGUUAAAUACUGAAGAAGCUCCCUGGCUAGCUUCGGUCUCUGACUCGGCUAAGGCAUUUAAAUGAGAACUGAAGUCCCAAACCUGAAAGAGCAGCAGGAUUAAGUCACGUACAAAGCAUAUGUAAAUGGUCUUUCGAGCAUCGGUUUAAUAUAUACUCAUACUCAUAAUCUUGACAUAAAGUCAGACCUGCACAUGACCAGUGUCUGCCCAAGAUGCAAAUAUAUGUGGAUUUUGUGUCAUGGCGCGUAUACGAUUCACACAUCCUUCAUGAGCUACCUUGCGCAACUGUAUAUGAGAAGAAGAAAAAAUGUCAAGGCACAGAGAUGAGGUCAAAAUUAAGAAAGAUAAAGGCAAGAUAAAUCAAGCGUGGAAUGUAAAAAUAAAAAUAUUGCCUGCAAAACAGGUGCGCCAGAUCCACUUGACUCCUCAUCCUCGCUAUCAUCGUCACUAUCACUGUCCUCACUAUCCAUAUUAGAGUCAUCAUCUGCAGCUUUGGCUGGCACUGGCUCGCGCUUUUUCCCAGAAAUGUUAGAUACUUUAAAUAUUCCAAGAGAGUUCCAAGCAGCUUUCUCUGCCUGAGUCCCAGCAACGAAAUACACACUAUGGGGGAACUCUGUCCGAACCAACCCCAACGUAUCCCGUACAAUAUCAAAGCUGUCAAAAGUAAUUAACUUCUUUUAGCCAUUUACUCGAAACCUAUAAUUCUCUUAGAAAGAAUGAAACUUGAAUUCUUAAAUAUAACCAUUACCAGCAAAUUAAGUAUAAAAUUGAACCUCUAAAACAUAACUCAAUAUUACGAGUAGACGUGAGCUUUCCCGAAACGAAAAAAAAAAGAGAAGCUAAUUAUUCACAAACGCUAUAAGUCUAAGCUUUAGUUCAAUUCAGCUAAUCAAACUCCAAUAAUUCAAACCCACAAUUCAAAAUUUCAACUUUAUGCUUUUCCUGCACUUUCUAUGCAACCAAAAAGAAGAAUCCAUAAGAUUCAGAGCAACCUUAAACAAGGCCAACCAAUAUGGAAGGCAUGGAGAGAAUUGUAAGCUGAUGGGUCACACUGGAGCUCUUCGCCCUCCUCCAACUUGUCCACUCCCGGUUGCCAUACCUUCGCCGGCAUCGACGGUCCCGAAGAGGAAGAAGACCCAUCUCCUUUCUUUGAGCCCUAAACAAAAAUUCGAUUCAAUCAAAUCAAUUGGGGAAAGGAUAAAACCUAAUUUUACUGAAAUAAUUAAACAAUAAGAGGAGAAGGAAGUGGAUUUAGGAGCUGACCUUGGCCUUUCUUUUGGCUUUCUUAGGGUUCUUGAUGCUUCUGACCAUUUCUAAUUCUUCAGAUUUUGCAGGAACACGGAGACUCUGAUGAAGGAAGGCAGGAACACAGAGCGUCUAAUGAGGGAAGGAAGGAGAAGAGAAAGCAAAACUGAAGAGGGUUUUGGUGGGGCUAGGGUUUUAGCUUAUUGGGCUCAGCCUUUAUGCUCAUAAUAUGCUAUUUUUUUAGCCCAAAAAUAAUUUUAUGAUACUGUAGUCCAAUGGGGCUUGUGUUGGAUUUCCAAUCGUAACCCUAAAAAUUUCGACAUUUGAUAGUAUAUUUGGAUAAGUAAAAUAUACUUUAAAUUUGGACAAACGUAAAAGUUUUAAUCAGAACUAUACAUUAGACAUGUAUAUUUCUUGUAUGACCCAUUAACCCUACUCAAAUGAUACGAUUCGUUAACGAAUUAGGUUGUCGUUGGCUAUUCUGUUAAUAACCUGUUAAGAUAACGAGUUUGACACGAUAUGUUAAGAUAACAUAUAAUACGAACACGACAAAUGCGUCUCGUUUGCCAGGUCUUGGUACGCACUCGUUUUGGUAAUUUGCAUCUCCAUUAUAUAUAGAGAUGAGUAUUGGAAACCGUAAGAGUCCCAAAAUCAGCCAUGUUCUAUAUUAUAUACACUUGUAUGGUUUGUUUGUCAUAAUUUUUCAUGGUUAUUUUAUUUUUUAUUUUAUUACAAAUAAUGUUAUUACUUUAAGAGCAUCUCCAACAAUACUAGUUAAAUUUUUGUUGAUUUGGCUAGUCACAACUUUUAACAAAUACUAUUUAUUUUAGGUUAAGCUUCUUAAAAACCAAGCCCUUUUUAAUUUAGGUUAAGCUAAAAUAUUUUUAAUAUGAUUUUUUCCAAACUUAACAACCAAACCCUUUUUUAUUCUCUUGAAACCCAUAAAUAAUGCACUUUUAUAGUUUUUAAUGUUUAAUAAAAAUUUAGUUCUCUCUCUCUCCUCCUAAUAAAUCUAGCAAAUUACUCUUCUCAAAGUUAAGAUAGUCGUUUAAAUAGCCUGUUAGAGCUUAAUUUUUUUUUGCAUUUUUUUGUUAAAGUAGCCAAAAAAGGUUAUUUUUCUAGGUUGGUAGAGAUGCUCUUGUUGAUACAUAUACACUGCUAUAAUACUAUUGAUCACCUCAUUGAGUACAUAAAGUGGUCGUUCAAAUCAAUGUACGUACACAUUUACAACUCCCUACAUAAUCUUUAAAUUUCGAUAAUCUAAAACAUAGGGGAAUUAUAAAAUGGUAGUGUUUUCCACACACCCAUUUAUAUUUCUUCCACAAUUCUCUCAAGUUUCGGCCAUCAAAUUGAAUAAAUUGAAGAAUAUCAAAGACAAAAAAUUAAAAAACUGUUUAUAAGUAAACAUAGGUAUAUGAAUAAUACUAUCCUUAUAAACCCCAUUUACUUGCUAUACACUAUUCACAGAGAAACUUUUGCCAUAGUUUUACAGAAAUGGCAGGGACUGGAAAUUAAAAUAAAUACUCAUCCUGCAUGAUCAUAUAUUGUCUUCUCUGUUUAACUGUUUUUUCUUUGUCUUGUAAGGAGAACAAGUGUGCCAAAGCCAAUCAUAAUUGCAACUUUUAUUGCCUGGCAAGAGAAAUUGGAGCACAAGAAACAAAGAAAUUAGAUAUGAAGCUCCAUACUUUUUAGAAUUGGUUUAAUAACCAUUUCGUUUUUAUAUUCAAGUUUUCACGUUUUGGUCAGAAACGCCAUGAACAAAAAAGGGAGAUAUUAAUAAGAAUGGAGGAAGGUGGCGGAAAAGAUGCAAAAGAAAUGCACAUGUAAAUAAUAGUGUAUAAUAUGAAAAUAAAAAAUUGAAAACGAUUUAAAUGGGGUUUUCUUUUAUUUUUUUAUUUUUUUUUAUAUAUUUUGUAUGUCAUUCCAUCUGCAUUUCUCAUUCCUCCCUCUACAUUCUUGAUUCAUCCAUUAUUUUGUCUACUUUCUCUUUAUAUCUAGUUAAAAAAAUGAAAUGGUCAUCAUACGAGCCCUAAUAAUGCGGAGAAAACGUAUAACCUGCCCAACUGGCCCCCCAAAAGUUCCAGCCUCCUCUGAUGAAUUCUCAACCUUUGAUCUUCUUCUUUGAUUCUCCUCUUUUUUAUCCACGUUAUGCUACAAGUGAUCACAUAAACAUAAGGUAAAAGCAAGAUGGUUCAGCAAUGUGAUGACUAACAAGUUACCAGAAGUUCAGCUGAAAAUUCCAUACCUCUUCAACAUUUUCUGGUAGUGAAAAAUUUGUCUCUCGUUGAUGGAUAUUUGGAUUCUCUCUGCAACAGCCUCGCAAAUCUAUCAUUUUUUUACCAGUAGUUGUUACACAAAAGCGUAUCGCUUCAUCUGGAAAAAUCCAGGCACCGGAGCUCUCAAAGGGAAUGUGCCUAUCUUCACAGUUUGCUACUGAUGUGCAUAAUACAUUGGGACCGGAAUCUUCUUGAAUGUGCCUAUCUUCCAAGUUUGCUUCUGAUGUACAUACAUUAGCACUAGAUGAAGCUCCUUGAACGUCGGUGAUUUGAGUAUUUGUCGAAGAAACUUGUACUCGACUCUCCUCUAUACCUUUGAUGCGCCCAGAAUGUCGCUUUCCACACGGCAUAUCAGAAGGUUCGUGCCUAUGCUUACCAAGAAUCUUCUCUGAUACUUGAACCAUUUCAAAUGCUGAUCGUCUAACGAAAUCUUUGGGAAAGUUACCUUUCUUUAUGUCAGCUACUUGGUCCACAUCUAAUUGUUUGAAUUUAUUCUUUAUCCCAGUGGGAUGUGAAGAUUUAAUCGCAUCCGAAGCUCCAAGUAAACUAAUUUGGUGCCCGCUUUUUUCACCAGAUGUUAAAUCAAGAUUCAAGUCUCCUAAAGGAUCCUCUACCGCUUUUGAUAUUGACUGUGCAGUUUCUGUACUUAUCAUAUUCUUGUGUUCUUCUAAGUUCUGGCUUUCCACAAGAGCUCCUGUUUUAAUCUUAUUUGAUCGAACUUGUAAUGGUGGUGAUUUGAUUCGAGGCCUCAUAUCCUGCAGUCGAAGCAAACAUUAUGCAUCAUUAUUAUGGAAGAACUAGUUCUAUCCACUCGAAAAAGCAUUUAAUCAUCUCUUAUAAAGCAACAUGCCAGACAUACCUCAGCUGAACCGCUUUCAAAGGCGCUUAUCAUUUUCUUUACACUGCUAGGAGUUUUCUUGAUCGGACUCCGCUUCUCGAGGUUUCGAGGCCUAUCUUCCUGAAGAUUAGGAUGAUUUGUUGCGCCAACAGCCGAUUGUGAGCCUCUUAAUACUAUUGAAGUUUUAUCCGCAGAAGUGGCUGUGGAUGGAACAUAAUAAGCACUUCUUAUUCCAAUUACUAUCUGAAAACAAAAUUAUCAAUCUACAAAAAGUUUUCUAACUUUUCAACUUCAAUAUAGGGUAGGAUUUUCUCAUGCAUUCGGAACAUCCAAAAUAACUCUCACGAAAAGAGAAAUUUUAAUACCACAUAGAAAACUAAGGACUUGUCACCUUAUUCGUUCCUGUUACAUUAUGCCUGAAGUUUCUAAAUUUUCUUGUUAAGCGAUUAAGAUCGAACCUGAGAUCUCUUCGCGAAGGUAGAAGGAUGAUGCAACAUUCACCCCAGCACUCAGAGUACUUUGCACACUGUUGGGACUGCUAUUGAUCAACUCCCCUUGUUUCUUUUUCAGUGCAGAUUCUCUCUGCAAGAAAAUUCAGAUUAUAUACCAAAUGCAAGUUGCAAACUUACGACAACUAUAUGAAAUUUCAGUACAAACUGAAAUUAACCAUUCAAAACCAAAAGUCAAAACUAGCAACACAAGAGAAUACCAUCAUUCGGAUUCUGUUACGCUCUUCUUCGUUGAGUACAAACUGCAACUUCAUACGCACAAACCCGCCUCCACUGAGGGGAAACAAGUCAUCCCAAAUACCCUUCUCGACUAUCGACUUAACUUCAACGCCUGAUCCAAAAAUGAUCAUACAUAUUAAUAUGCCUCACUGCUUUUUGCAGACAAAAACAAGAGAAAGUUUAUACAUAUAGGAAUUGUUUUGACAAACCUGCGUGUGAUAUCUCAUUACCCUCAGAAUCUUGAAGAAGAACAACCAAAUUGUCGCGGAGGGACGUCAAUACGCUGUCCAUAACACAACCAGGAUAAGAUACGAAUCGAAUAACAACAGCAUUUAUGAUUAGAAGCAGUUUUAUGAUUAUUACAAGGUGAAGUCUCCCUUGUCCCAAGCUUGGCACUCUCUUUUCCCCAUAGAAACUGCAAUGUGUAUUCAAUCAGUGAGCAUUUUUUUUAAAUUGUUAGAAAUUCUAGACCGAAACUCGAAGAACGAAAUUAAGCUAAGAAUAAAUAAUUGCUUACCCUUGAUGGAUAUUGAGGAAGAAGGAAGGUCUAUGAACUCGAGAACUGCAAAUUCAGCAAAACGUGAAGAAAAAGAAAAAAGUUAACGUAUGUUGGACAUCACCGACUGUUUAAAAAUAGGAUUAGGCGAGAUUAGCUUAUCAGCGCCGUUUCAUGUUUGAAUUAUAGUUGAAAAAUAGCUUUUAGUACCUGAAACUUUGAUGGUUCCUGGCAUUGCAGAGACAAAGAAUUUGCAAACUUCUGUUUUAUUUUUUAUUUUUAAGAUUUGUAAUAAUUUGAUGAAUGGUUGAGGGCUUGAAGGUGGGAGAUGGGAUUGGAUGGGAAGUGUGGAUAUCGUUAGAGGAGGGAGAUUUGGUGUACAACAAUGGUGGGUCCUUCAUUAACUAUUAACCACAUCAAAGUCUUCACCUCAAAGGGCUGAGAGGAAAAAUGACAAAUUUUUUAUCAUCUGACCGACUUGCCAAGAACUGGUCGGGCUCCCAAAGGAGGCACUCAAUGACAGAAAAUUCGAAGGUACACCGGUGAAACUGUCGAAACUGAGGUGCGUUCACCGGUGAAACUGUCGAACUCAGUUGCACCAGUCGAACCACAUGGUUGUGCGGCCACACAUACAGAAAAAGGGUUUUCCGUAUUCCCUGCUUUCUGUUUCUACCCGUGGUCCCAUCAGAAUGGGAGAAAGGUUGUAUGUGGCGGUCGUACACAGAUUUUUCUCCUCAAAUGACCAUUUACCUUCUUUAGUAUGAUGUUUUAGAAAAAUUAUUCUUCAGUUGAGUACUAAUGACAAAUCUAAAUUGUCAGUUUAGUUUCGCAUUCACCAUUUCGUACUGUAUUACUCUUUUUCGGAAUAAUACGAGAUGAGAGAUUCAAACUUGAGAGCCCUUGUGCAAAGAAGUACUACUAGAUUAAGACUAGUCGUAUCCAUAUUCUCAUAUUAUGUAUGUGAAAAGACAAAAAAUAUAAUUUAUUGCAACAAAUUGCCGACACAAGAUACAGAUUGUUCUCAUGGACACGGGAUAUCCUUAACUUGUGCAAAUAUUGGCAAGAUAAUAUGUUGCAAACAUGUUACCUACGCUAAAAAAUAGUAACAAAUUAAUCCGCUGAAAUCAACCUUGUUAAAAAUCCAUCUCCCUGUAUAAGAUUCUAUCAGUAAAGAGAAGCACCAGCUAAAAACUUGGUACCAGUUCUGCAAGGAUAAAACUGUUUAAGAUUGUAUCUUCUUCGCUUUUUUCGGGGUCUGCUUUGAAAUGUUGAUGUUGCUAGGAAGCUACAUCGUCACAUAUCCCAUGUCUCAGAAGUUGUACUGGUUGUUGUAGGAGUUGUUGCAGGAACAGAGGGCACUUCUACUACAGGUUUGUGAUUUUUGACGCCUGUUUCUGAUUUCCGUUUCAAUGUGCCAGGAUCUCGCUUCUUGACGCCAAUAAACAUGUAAGCUGCAAGAGUUCAGAUGCAAGUCGGUUAAUCCUGUCUUUGAGGUUAACUUUUGAAUUCGACAAUGAUGUUAUUCAUACUGUGGAAAAUUUGUGUGAUAAACACAGACAUCAACUAAGGGUGAAUAUAUCUUUAUUGGGAAGAAACUAUUUCACCAAAUGUUAGCUUUUCUCCCCUUUUUUCUUGAUUGGUUAUUUCUUAGUCCAAGUCAUGAGGUGAUGAAUAUAUCAUCUUAAAUAUCUAGAGUGAAACCCCAACUAUUCGCGAUCUAACGAAACCAUCAAUGUGUGUGUGAAGUGGAAAAAUAGGCAGUCAUUUGACAAUUAUCGAACCGAUCAAAGUAUAAGGGAUGGAAGAUGGCUUUUGUCCAGGUGGCAGUAGCCCGCUGAUUAUCAGGGUAGGAAGGGGACUAAACCUUCCUAUCGGAAGAUUGAACAGGGAGACAGUCGCACAACUCAUUCACAGAGGCACACCCAACGCACAAGCACAUGAACAUGCAUGCAAAUAGAAGCAUAGAAGGGAUAUUUCACACAAAGAUUAAUAUCUUGAUAAAGUAAACACUGGCAACCUCUUGUUUCUCGCAAUGGAUGUAAUACCCAUAUCAGUCAUACUCAGUUCAUACUUCCCAUGGGAACAGCUUUAACAACCUCCAAACCACCUUGCCCCGUCCCCCUUUUAACAAAUAGGGAAAAAAAUUUAAACAUUUGGAUUAAGAGGGAAAAUCCCAAAGGACAAAUGGAUGUAUACUUCUGGCAAGGUUUCUGUCGAUCACAAGACAGUGAAGAAUACCUUGUAUACUUGGCGCUAGAGAUGUGAAAUAACAGUUUCUAUAGAUGGAGUAAUCUAAUGUCAAAUUGUCAAUGAAAUUCAGCAUUACUGGUACACUGACACUACAGCCAUCAGAGUGAUUAAAUUUCUUCCCAUACAAAAGCCAUCACGGCAAUCAUUCCAGCAAGAUUCCCUAAUUAAGGUUUGCUCAUUAAUGUUAACUUACUACCACUUUAUUUUAAAAAUCACGCUAUUAAGCUUUUUAAUUUCUAUCAGGCCACAGCCAAGGCCUUCCAAAUUUAGAAAUUCAAAUUUCAAUCAGCAUACCGCACGAACAACCACACGUCUUAUUACCUACACAUGGUGAAGGCUAUCCGAAAUCGGUUGCCUAUGACAUUAAUUGGCCGACUUGGACCAAACUAUACCAAUUACAAUAACAUCCAUCAGUUUCAACCUUAUGUUUAUGAUUUGGUCCCCAAAAAACACCCUAAAGACCUUGACAGAAAUCGGACAAGGGGCUGAAGAGACUCAACUUUUUCCUUCUCUCUCACUGGAUCCCUAUUCUAUGAGCACCAUGACAAAACAAAUUACACUUUCCUAACUUAGCAUUUAACAACAAAUACAAAUUACCCAUCAAACAUUCUAAGCCUAAAAACGCUUCUAUGGGACGCCAAAUCAAACACAUUACGUACAGAAACGAAAACACGCAUUCCAAGUCUCUUAAAUCAAACUUCUGCUCAGAUAAACAAAACCCAUAACCCAAUUUUGCUCAGACGCUCAAACAGUAAAAAAAUCUAGGGUUUUACAAACCCGUAUCCAUAAGCUAAUAAUCUAAUGCAAAAAAUCGCAGAGAAAGUAGAGCCGAAAAGAUGAGGAAGCUGGCUGACCUCCGAGAACAAGAUUGGAGAUCAUGAGGACUCGCCAAAUGAACUUGUAGCGGUUGAUUGGUAGUUCCUUCGCCGGUAAUGACGGCAGCGGUGGCUCCGGCAUCUCUCUCGGUGUUUGACUGUGCGUGCAAAACGCAAGUAAUAUACGAAGUCCCCUUGCAGUCGUUAGUUAACCAAUUUUUAGGACUCAAAGAAGGAUCAAGAUGUUGAGAAAAACGGGGAUGACGAAUAGUACGACGUGUCGUUUCAUUCAAGCGUAAAGAGGCCUAAAAAUGUUACUGGGCCGAGUUAGGUCCAAACUUUAGAUGGGGCACGCUUUGACAAAUCUAAUAAGUCCAUGAAGGCACAAUGUUACAGAAAACCCAAGUUGGCCAUAUGUUUAUGGCACCUAAAAAAUAAAGCACUUUUCAUUUCCGUGACAAACUUAAAUUCUUAUUUUCUCCAUUUUUUUAAUGAGUAAUAUAGCAAGAAUUCAUACUAUGCAAUUUAAACAUAACAAGUGGCUUGUAACUCAGUUGGUUAAGAAUAUUCACCAUUUCACUUGAGGUCCUAUGUUCGAAGGGUAGUUCACCCUUCCACCCGAGGUCCGUGUUCGAAUCCCCUUCAAGUAUGAGCCCGACCUACUCAAUUAAGUCUAGUUAAUAGUGUUUGUACCAUACUUGACCAAUCUCAAAACUACCAAGCACCGGUUAACUUCAUACCUUCAAGGACCCCCUAAGGGAUUCAUGCCGAGGCACCCUUGCCAAAGCACAAGAGUUUCCCUCCGCCCAGGAGGCUAAUCACAUCACGACACAUGUCAACGUCAAACUAAAGCACCUAGAUUCCCAUAUUGACAACGGACAAAAGCCGGAGACUCUUCUCAACUAUAAAAGAAGACCAUUAUCCUACAAUUAAGGAUGAAUGCAAUUAUUGUACUUAAACUCAUCAUUAGAACCCACUAAUGAUGAUUUUGCUUGAACAUAUGUAUUAUGUAAACCCUUCAUUAUUAAUGAGAACUCCUCUACCCCGUGGACAUAACCAAACUUAAGGUGAACCACGUACAUCUUGUGUUUGCUUCCCUACCUCUAUCUCUUUACAUAUAUUAUCCCCACUAGGUGAUCGGAGCAACCGAACGAAGGUCACAAACUUGACACUUGUCAUAAUUUGUUUGUUUGUUUUACUUAUUGUUGUUAGAGUAUAGCGCUUAAGAUUGAGACACUUGUCAUAAUCCAUUGAUCCUAUCUCUCUUGAAAUAAUUUGUUUGUUUUACUUAUUGUUGUUAGAGUAUAGUGCUUAAGAUUGAGACACUUGUCAUAAUCCUAUCAUAUCAGUUAGUUAGGUUGUUAGCUUUGUAACUUAUAACAACCUAUAUAAGACUAACCUCAUGUAAUUACUUACUGAUUAAGAAAUAUACAGAUUGUUCUUCUUCUCUCUAACAUUCUUUUCUCUCCCUCUAAAACUCCUCAUCUGUUCUUCCUUCAAUAUACAAGAUUACAUUGUAUGAAUGAUCAAUUGAUAUAGCUUAACAUGGUAUCAAUCGCCAUUGUAGCUUACGCUUGACGUUUCAAUCCUUUACUGCUUCCGCACAUUCUUUCUCGGAUCGAUUAUCCUCUUCAAUUCGGUACUUCGUCUUCUCCAAUUUCUUGUUUCUAUAAUUUCUAGGGUUUCUAUAUUGAUCUUCAGUUCUUGAUCGGUUUUCUAUACAUAUUGCACACCACAUGUCUGUUGUAUUGUUUCACUAGUAAUUGGAGCUUGGAAUCACGAUGUUGACUGUUUCGCAACUUCAGCUGCUUCAAUCUUCGAUUACGGCUCUCAUUCCGUCCAUUUCUAUGUCGGUUAAUGUCAAGCUUGAUGAUUCAAACUACCUUAAUUGGCACUUUCAGAUGCAGCUUUUGCUUGAAAGCAAUGGAAUCAUGGGGUAUGUUGAUGGCUCUACUUCCUGUCCAUCUCAACAUGUCUCGAUAUCCGGCGAAUCUGGUAACAAUUCUCCUGUUACUUCUUCUUCUGCUAUGAAUGAUGAAUAUGUCGUGUGGAAAAUGCAUGAUAGAGCCAUUAUGCAAUUGAUUACUGCAACAUUAUCACCUAUUACUAUGUCUUGUGCCAUUGGUAGCACUAGCUCCAAAGAUUUGUGGGUUAGGUUAAAGGAACAAUUUUCCACUGUGUCUAGGACUAGCAUUUUUCAGAUGAAGUCUAAUUUGCAGACAAUUAAGAAGGGAUCUGAUUUAAUUUCUUAGUACUUCCAUCGAAUUAAGGAAGCCAGAGACUAUCUAUCUGCUGCUAGAGUGUAUUUUGCAGAUGAAGACAUUGUAAUCCUUGCAUUUAAUGGGCUACCAGCUGAGUAUAACACCUUUAGAUGUGUCAUAAGGGGGCGUGAAAGUGUGAUUUCACUUAAAGAUUUCAGAUCAUAGUUGCUUGUCGAAGAAGCCAUUGUUGAUUAUUCCACCCCUGCACCUUUUAUGACAGCUAUGGUUGCCAACACAGGUCCAUCUGCUUCAAAACGCUCUAAUUUUUAUACUCGUGGUUUCUCUUACACUUUUGGUCAAUCACAUUUUGCUAUUGGAGGUUUCAAACCAUAUACUGGGACUAAGAACAAGAAUAAAGGCAUAUUCAAUCAGGCCUCUAGAUUUUAUAAUGUUAAACCUAUGUUUUCUACUCAAACACAUGUGCUUCCCAACUCUAAUCAUGGACUCCUUGGUCAGUCACCUAGUUCAUAGUUUGGAAGUCCUUCUGCACCAAUGAUUCCAAUCUGCCAGUUAUGUAACUUCGAAGGUCACACUGUUCCAUUAUGUGGAUCUUCUUCCGCUGAGAGAAACAAAUGUCAGAUUUGUGGUAGAAGCAAUCAUACCACCUGGUAUUGCUUUUACAAUGACAAUGGUCCAAACUUUAUUGGGAUGCAUAAUACUACAGCUUAUUCUUCGCAGUCAUCUUAUCAUAUGCAACCAUAAACUGUCAACUACUCUUCAUUCACACCUACACAGUUUUAAUCACAACAACCUCCUAUGCAAGCAAUGCAUACAAUGCUUAAUCCUGCAUCACAGUCAUCAAGUUCUCAAGCUUCUCCUUAGGUGUGGAUUACUGAUUCAGGGGUAACUAAUCAUAUGACAGCGGAUUUGACAAACAUGUCUCUAGCAUCGCCAUAUCUAACAAAUGAAACCAUUCAAAUUGCAAACGGUGAAGGUUUGACAGUAUCUCAUGUUGGUUAUUCAACUGUUCAUACACCAAUUUCUUCACUCAAAUUGAACUCUGUGCUCCAUGUUUCUCAAUUAACUCAGAACCUUCUAUCAGUACAUCGAAUUUGUCUUGAUAACAAUUGCUAGCUGAUUUUUUAUGCUUAUUGUUUUUGGAUUCAGGACAAAGCCACAUGGAGGAUCCUUUACAAAGACUUGUGUAGUAAUGUCAUGUACCCUAUCCAUUCCUUGACAAAUUCAACCUCACAGAAGAUCCAUUCAGCUAAGGCACUUCUUGGACACCUUGUGUAGUCUAAUCUCUGGCACCAUAGGUUAGGUCAUCCCUCAAAUAAUGUUGUAUCUCUAAUGUUGGCCAAAGCUAAUGUACCAUUUACAAAAAUCUCUUUACCUAUAAUGUGUCAUAAAUGUCUAGAAGGGAAAUUUAGUAAACUACCUUUUCCAAAGCAUGUCAAUAAGUCUGUAUUUCCAUUUGAGACAAUUCACACUGAUAUGUGGGGUCCUGCACCAUGUGUAUCAGUUAAUAGUUAUAGAUAUUACACCAUCUUUGUGGAUGAAUGUACCCCACAUUGAUGGAUUUUCCCAUUAAUAAACAAGUCAGAUUUGUUUCCUACAUUUGUUGCUUUUCAUUCCUUUGUUGUUACUAAAUUUCUACAACAAUUAAGACUCUUCAAUCUAAUGGAGGGGGUGAGUAUAUCAGCAACAAAAUGAAACAGUUUCUCAUUGAAAAAAGUAUUUCACAUCAUUUAUCCUGUCCAUACACCCCUGAAAAAAAUGGAUUAACGGAGAGAAAGCAUAGACACAUCAUUGAAACCACAAUCACCUUGUUACAAACAGCUCAAUUGCCAUCUCAGUUUUGGUCCUAUGCUUAUCAAACAACUACCUAUCUUAUAAAUCGAAUGCCCAUUACUGUUCUUAGUAAUAGAUCUCAUUUUGAAAUGCUGUUUGGGACAUAUCCACUUCUUACUCAUUUAAGAAUAUUUGGGUGUGCAUGCUUUCCUUUACUCAAGCCAUAUAAUAGUACCAAGUUGCAGGCCAAAUCUACAAAGUGUGUGUUAUUGGGUAUGCCACAAAAUAUAAAGGCUAUAUGUGUUAUCAUGUACUUACAAAGAGAGUGUUUGUAUCUAGGCAUGUCAUUUUUGAUGAACAACACUUCCCAUAUACAGACUUGUUGGCAUCACAUUCAACUUUACUUGCAUCACCACAAACACAUCAUAGUUCACAUGGUCCUGUGCCUAUGGUUACUUCAAAAAACAUCAUUGUCCUACCUAUAUCACACUCAUCUCAUAGCAGUCCUAGUGUUUCUACACCUGACACAACAAAUAUACCAACCUCAGUCUCAUUAUCACCUUUAACCUGUGUUUCAGCUGAUAUUUCUGCAAGUCCUCAGUCCAUUACUGCUUCAAGACAAGCUUCUUCUCUGAUCCCUGUGGCACCUGACAUAAGUUAUACUUAUGCAACAUAAUCCAAUGAGUUUAAUCCUAAUACUCUGCAAGUGGUAUUGUUCAUUCCACCACUCAAUUUGCAUUCCAUGCAAACUAGAAGCAAGAGUGGUAUUAUUAAAAAGAAAGCUCUCUUAGCACAUGUUCAGGAUUUUGGAGGAACUGAUAUAUCAUUGGUUGAACCAACAAGUUAUAAAUCAACAAUUAAAGUCCCUAUGUGGUUAGCAGCUUUGCAAGAAGAAGUCAAUGCAUUACAUGCUCAAGGAACUUGGAGUCUAGUUCCAUUACCUGCCAACAAAAACCUGGUUGGUUGCAAAUGGAUUUUCAAGAUUAAGAAGCACUCUGAAGGGUCCAUUGCUAGGCACAAAGCAUGGUUAGUUGCUAAGGGUUUCAGUCAAGAACCAAGAUUGGAUUAUAGGGAGACCUUUAGUCCUGUGGUUCAGCCUACCACGGUAAGGUUAGUUCUUGCUCUUGCUGCACAUUUUAAUUGGCCUCUUAGACAAUUAGAUGUCAAAAAUGCAUUUCUGCAUGGAAUUCUUCAAGAGAAUGUAUAUAUGUCUCAACCUCCUGGUUUUGAAGAUCCAACUCAUCCUCAUCUAGUGUGCAAGCUGCAUAAGUCUUUGUAUGGAUUAAAAUAGGCUCAUUGGGCCUGGAAUGAAAGGUUCACUCAGUUUUUUCCUUCUUUGGGAUUUUCAAACACAUACUCUGAUUCAUCAUUGUUUGUUAAACAUGUUGGAAGUGAAAUGGUGGUGUUGUUACUCUACGUGGAUGAUAUAAUCAUUACUUGAAGUGCAUCUGAUGCAAUAUCACAGGUUAUUAGUGCUCUUACUGCUGAGUUUGAUAUCAAGGAUUUAGGGCCAUUACACUAUUUCUUGGGCAUACAAAUUAUCAAAAUUGCAACUGGUUUGUUUCUGUCACAAGCCAAGUAUAUUCAAGAUUUUUUGGUGAAAUCUAAAAUGCUUGAUGCUAAACCUUGUGAUACACCAUGCCUCCCUUACAAUAGGUUGCUCAAAUCCUGGUUUAUAUAGAAGCAUAGUGGGGGCAUUACAAUACUGAACUUUUACAAGGCCAGAUAUUGCUUUUUCAGUGCACCAAGUCUGUCAGUUUAUGCAGAAUCCAAUGGUGUCUCAUUUCACUGCAGUUAAACGCAUUCUACGAUAUCUCAAGGGAACCAUGCAGUUUGGUAUAUCCUACACUAGGGGAGAUUUGCAGUUAAAGGCCUUUAGUGAUGCUGAUUGGGCAGAGGACCCUAAUGAUAGAAGGUCAACUACUGGUUUGGUGGUGUUCUUGGGUAACAAUCUUAUUUCUUGGUCCUCUAAGAAGCAACAAGCUGUUUCUUGAUCUUCAACAGAAGUUGAAUAUCGAGCAUUGUCAUUCACCUCCGCUGAGUUGGAUUGGAUCAUACAAUUAUUAGCAUUUAUGCAUAUACCAUUGCUUAAUGUUCUGGUGCUGUUCCGUGACAACCUCUCUGCAAUUGCUUUAUCCUUUAAUCCUGUUCAUAAUCAAAAGACUAAACACAUUGAAAUAGAUGUGCAUUUUGUCAGAGAAAGGGUUUCUCAUAAACAACUCUCUGUACAGUUUGUGUCUUCCCAUGAGCAAUUUGCUAAUAUUCUUACAAAAGGCUUAAGUGGUCCACUUUUUCGAACUCAUUGCUGCAAUCUCAUGCUUGGUUCUUGAUGGGGGAUAUUAGAGUAUAGUGCUUAAGAUUGAGACAUUUGUCAUAAUCCUAUCAUAUCAGUUAGUUAGGUUGUUAGCUUUGUAGCUUAUAACAACCUAUACAAGACUAACCUCAUGUAAUUACUUACUGAUUAAGAAAUAUACAGAUUGUUCUUCUUCUCUUUAACAUUCUCUUAUCUCUCUCUAAAAUUCUCCUCUAUUCUUCCUUCAAUAUACAAGAUUACAUUGUAUGAAUGAUCAAUUGAUAUAGCUUAACAAUUGUGUAGGGGAGCCGAGGUUUAACUGGGAUAAGGGUUUUAAGAGUUCAAAACCUUCCGUGUGAGCGUAGCUUAAUUAAGAGUGAACCACAUAAAUCUAUAGUGUUGUCUGAAUGCAUGUAGCUCAAUUUCUGUUUACAAACUGCAACCUUAAACAUUAAGUCUAGUUUGGCAGCUUGUAUAAGAAACCGGAUAAUAUUGAUAAGAGUGAUGUUACAAUUAACACAUAUUUGUAUGAUCAUUUGUAUCAUCUCUAAUAGAGGUAGGGUCUACCAAUACAUAUGGAUUCCAUUUCUACUAGAGAGAUUAUAUACAAAUGAUGAUAUAAAUAUGUGGUAAGAGUAACAUUUUUGUAAUAAUAAUACAAACCCAAUUGUUUGAUGCCUUAUGUGUAAAAUAGUCUCAUCUCUAUUAGAGAGAUUAUACGGACCCGAAUGCCAUAGUUCAUAUGCCAAAUUAGUGCUGAAAUAGUCAGUACAGUCCAACGUACCAAACGAGGCUUAGAACUCUCAUAUAUACCCUAGGCUUAUUUUGCAUGAACUGCUCAAUUAUGUCGAGCUAAUCUGGAAGGAUUAUCCAAUCUCAAUCUCAAACUAAUUUAAGUCAACACAUGGAUUUUAAAUUUCUCAUACAUAGCAAAGCACAAAGAUUUGUCAUUAACCCAAAACUACUUCGGUUUCUUUCCGUUGUUGUGCAUUUGAAAAUAAUCAUAAUCAAGUUCAACGUGCCCUAGCAAAAACUUACUAGAUAAAAGUAAAAAGAAAGAGAAAUAUAGCUUCCUAUGCCUUCCCCGAAAACCAAUUUAUUAUCGUUUUGAAAGAAAAAAAAAAAGUCCCAAAUCUCAAUGGUCCAAACUUCUAAAAAAUUUGGGAGUAAUUAUAAUAUAACACCAACCGAUCGACCUUCUGGCAAGUAUAAAAAAGUUAUGUACCAUAUUGUUUAGCUAGAUGAAAGAGAAGCAAAAGCAGAAAUGUAAACCUUCUGUCUACCAGAAAAAAAAAUAUCUUCACGGUCCAUUUUUUUCAUGGGAUACUAUUGUAAGAGUAUGAGUAUGAGUAUGAGUUAAACAUUAAGAGCAGGAUUGUGUAAAUCUUUGUAUGGAAAGUCUUGUUAAUAAGCUUGGAGAAAUCCUAUUUAUUGUAGAAUUGUGAGUACUGGAAGUAGUCCAAAUUGGCAUGGGACUGAACUUAGUGUCACGAGUCUUAUUCAUUCAUAUUGUAAUAUGGGUUACUUGUGUGAGUUCCAUAAGGUUUCUAAUAGGAGAAUAUUUGGAACAAUACUAUAUAUAAACCUAGCCACUGCUCUUGCAAAGGUCUGAUCAUAUUAUUCCGAAUACCUAGUGUUUGGAGAGUGCUUGUGCUUUGUUAAAGAGGAGAAGGUUAAAUUGUUUAUGAAGAAGCUGCACUGGCUUCAUCUUCCAUCUCUGGUUCUGCAGGUUAGUUAGUGUGCAGGUUUUAAUGUUUUUCCUCAGCAUGAUUAGGAUAGGUUCAUAUCUUGUUCUUUACUUUUGAUAAUUCAAUUGGCUAGCUUGUGUUCUGUGGGAUCGAGAUAUAUGUGUGUAUAUAUAUGUCUUACAACUAUAUAUAGGCCUCAUGAAAAUCCCUUAUUUAAAUUGAAAAUGUUUUAUAUAUUGGCUAAACUGUAGCUGCUUGAUAGUAUAUGAUCAAGUUAAUUUGACAGAGAGAUUAAUUUCUUUUCUCUCUUUUGCCCUAGGUUAACCUGGGUAUAUACAUAGAAACCUCCCACGAAGUACUUCGUACAGCAUGUGUGAAAUUUCUAGUAUAGAAGUCACACUAACCAUAAGAUCACUAAGAUUGUGCAACCAUCACCGGCAAAGAGCGAAGUCAGAUUACAAUUCUGUGAUUUCCUGAAAUGAAGACUUUCCUCCUCCCCAGAAAUGAGGGAAGUUUUAUCCUUGCAUAACUCUAUCUCUAAACCCUAAUUAAACACAAAAGACAGAGCAAACUCAAAGUAGUUAUUUCUGAGAUUGUGUAACUAAUCUAUCCCUCUGAAGUAUUUGACUGUAGCUAGCCUGCAAAGGUCACUGUGCUUCUUCUUGCACUGCUAUGACGAUGCCUAAGACGAGUAGUACAAUCCUCUAGGUGACCUUUCAAACCCAAAAAGUCGUAUUCAUAUGCUAUAAAUAUAUGAUAAGAGUAGCAUUUAUAUAUCACCAGGACUUUCUUGGGUACUCCUUUUUUGUGUGCUCUGAAGUACCCGGUACUCCAAGAGUUUUAAUUGUCAAAUUUUUAGUUGAAAAUAUAAAAAUUAAAAUCCGACUGUUAAAACAACCGAGAGUUUUUUAAUAUCUCCUCUCUGAAUCAUCACAAUCAUGAUUGCUUUGCCAGUAGCCCCAUUAAACUUUUCAGGAAAAAGGAAAAUAAAAGGAAAUUUAUUAAAAGCUAUAAAAAGAUCAGUUGUUGCUUUCUCAUAUCAUCAAACCCUACAGCGUUAAAGUUCUUUUCGAAUUAAACCUCAAAUAUUAGUUUUAUUCUUUAUUAAACUUGCGAAUUGCUUGUGAUUUGCUACCCAUUUACUGGGAAUGGGGUGCAACCUAGCUGAUCCAAUUGAGAGUUUAGAAUGGUGUUUAAUAAUGAAUUUCUUACCCUCCUGAUUUAUUAUUCAUACAACUGCUACUUAGUUAUAAGCUCAUGCUACAACUGCUCUGACAAACCUCAACUAUUAGAAUUUGUUCUUUACUUAGUUGGAGGCUCACGUUACAAAAGCUCAGACAAACCUAAAAUAUUAGUGUUUCUUAUCUUUAUACUCAAUAUAUGUGGGAUGAUCUGCACCCCUCAAUCUUCGUGCCCUACUGCAUGCAGUAUAUGUUUCAUUAAUUUUAACGGUCAUGUGACUCAAAACUUUUGUUGCCUUUGUCUCUACAAUAUUUCCAAAAGUAGCUUUAAUCACUCGUCUCAGCAUAUACGGUUCUUCAAUUUAAACUCUUAUAAUGAUGCAAGAACCCUAGAUCUAAUUAAUUCGCAACUAAGAUUUGUACCGCUGUGCAGCAAUACUGCUGAAAUCAAACAAAAAAAGGACAAAGAAGCAAAAGGAGUAGCAGCAGCAGCAGCAGUGCUGUGGCAAAGCUUAGCAAAUAAUUUAUUAGGUAAGAUGACAAUUGAUCGAUAAUAGGAUAACAAAACAAAACCUAAAUAUAUAGAUGAACAAGUAGCUAUAUAGAAACAACCAUUAUUUUUGGUAAAUUCUAUAUCUGCUUGUUAAAAAGCACACCACACGCUCCUCUCAUAAGAUCAUCACAACAAU
rnacentral:lncRNA from 1 species